AAAGAAUUAACUAUUUUGAAACUAACACCAUACCUGCAAUCAAGAGCCUUGCAGUCAUAUUCCUUACAAAAGUAAUAUGGGUAUGGAGUUAUUUGCACAAAGCAAACCUGUGCAAUGGUACACCUCAUAAGCCUAAGAAAUGGGUAUAUCACUACAACAUAUAGAACAGAUCUAGUUUCUAUGCAUUAAAGUUUCUCACCAAACAGAGACAUGACAACAUGGAAGAUUGCAUCUCAUCUGAAUCAUAAUCAACUAGUAAAAAAUGCAAUUUGAAAGCAAAAAUGAGAAAAUCAUAUGGAAGGAGACUGAAAUGCAAGUUACGCAACCCAAGAUGGGGGUGAAUUGGGAUUUUAAAUUUUAUGCUAAACAAUUUGCGGAACAAUUCAAUCUAAUGCCCUAAUGGAAUUGAAAACAAUAAAUUCAAUAUAGCACAAUAAUAAAAGAGUAAGGGAAGAGAAAACAAAUAAAAGGAUUUUUACAUGGUUCGCCAAUCCCCGCCUACGUCCACGCCUCUAAGCCAACCAAGCUCGAGGAUUUCACUAUCCAAGCCUCCCAAAGCUUCAAAUUCUUACAAUUGACUUCCAAGGUGUCAAUGAACCUUUACAAUCAAGAGAUUAUCUCCCUAAUCUCUUCACCUCAAGUGUUUCUCACACUUGUACACUCACAAUUUGAUAAGAAAAGAAAAUUACAACAAAAACUCUCUUUAAGAGUGGAUAUGCAAAUAAUAGCACAAUAAUGAUUCAAUCUAUGAUGAUUUUGUGAUUUGGAAACUCAAUAUAUGUUAUAUGAUGUUUUUUAUGCUUGUAUUAGUCCUUAAAAUGAAGUUGGAGUUGAGUUUUUAUAGUUAAAGCCCGAAACCUAGCCGUUAUAGACAAAUUCCCGCAACCAAGCGGUUAGCCGCCCAGAACAGUGAUGUUACCGUUAAAUUUGAAUUUUAGUACAACAUUACUAUUCAAAAAAUUAUAUUUUUGCCCAAAAUGUUUUGUAAUUACAAUAUGGCCCAAAAUGUCAUAAAACUUUACAAACAGGUCCAAUUUCAGAAUUUCUAAAUAAUGCUUGUCGUUCCCAAGACUUUUUGAAAUUAUGAUAUGGCUCCAAAUAUAAUGGUAUUGUUCAAAGAGGUCCUUUUCAAAACUUAGCAUAAUAACCAUAUUUUUCAAAGUUCUCAAAACCUUUCACUUUAGUCCAAAACUUGAAAAUAUGAGAUUUUCCUCAGGUGGCUAGCCGCUAGCCCUCAGGUGGUUAGCCGCUCACUCUCUGCCCAAUUUUGGAUUUCAAAUGUUUGAAUUAUAUUCGGGUCCUCAAACGUUCAUAAAUUAUAGUGUGGCCCAACUUGUUUGAAAUGUUUGUAAAUAAGUCCAACUCCAGAACUCAAAACAAUACUUAUUAAAAUCAAAGAUUGCAAAACUUUUUCAUUUUAGUUCAUAUCUUGAAAAACAACUUAAUUGCAUAAAAUACUUGGCUUAUAAUUGUAAAACAUUUGGUUUAUGAAAAAUGAUGAUUUAUUAAAUAAAAUCUUGAGUUUCUCAAAUGCUAAACCAUUCAUAUAUUAAAUCAUACCGGCUUUACAAGAAUUAUCGCAAUAAUGAGUCUGUUGAGUUAUAAACUUUAUUCUUGAUCAUGCCGUUGUCCGUUGAGUGUUGUGAACUUGAUUUCACUUGUAUAAACAUUACCCUUCAAGAACUAGUGAACUUGUGAAAUACACUAUUUAUUAAAUCACUUAAGACACAUGUUUGUUAUCAUCAAAAUUACAUUAUGUGUAGCUUUUUAGGCUAACAGAGACAAGUUUUAUUUUCAUACUCUAGAUCACAUAAGAAUUGCAUGAGCCCUAUUGUAACUUUCCUAAGAAGCCCAAAAUGGAACUAAUAACUUAUAAUAACCAUAUAAACAAGAACUCUACACACCCAUGACCACUAAGGGACUUUAUAUAAAAAAAUUAAAGUUAAAAAUGUCACUUUAUAACCCUAACAUAAGUCUAGCUAUUGAAUCAAAAUUGAGUUGAUUAAAGUUUUCAUAUUUUUUCAAUUAGCAAAUUAAUAACAUCAAAUUCAAUUUCUUAAUAUCCUAUCAAGGGCUGUCACAGUAUCUAUCAAACUAUAGUUAAUUAUACAAAUCAAUUAGAAUUUUGCAAAACAAUAUCUGUUACAGAACUUCAAUUGAGAAAGCCAAUAAAAUCGAAAUUCACAUAAACCCAUUAAUUUAAGCAUGAAAUCUAAAUGACCUAGAUGAAGAAAAAAUCUCAAAUUUAGUUGUGAGUCAAAAUCUGGGAAAAAAAAAAUUUCAAACCCACUUUCAUUCAACAAAAUUUGAUCGAUUUUAUCAUCAUCAUGAUGGAUUUACAAACAAAAAUUUGUCACCAUUUCAUGUAAAUCAGAAGCAAUAAAUUUAUGCAAAAAAACUCAUUCUAUAUACAAAUCCCAUGAUCUCUGGACCCAAUUCAAAGGAAAAAGACUCUAAGCAUUUACCUUGCAAGAAUCGAACCGAAGGUGAGGGUUCGUUGAACAACUUGUGGCGAAAGUGCAAAGAGACUGAAAGACGAUGCGAAAUGGGUGUCCAAUUGAGAACGAUGGUUUGGACGGUGGCAAAAUGGUGGAGUUUUGAAUGGUAGAAUGGUGGCUUUUUUAUUGAUUUUUAUUCUAGGGUUUCUAUUAAUGAUGAGAGUGUGAGGAAAAAUGGAUAGUGAGUGACACGACUCAAAAGUGUAUUACUCUCAAGUAUAAGAGUGUCUAGUUAUUAUAUAACCCGGUGAGACUGGGGUCGAACCACAAGGAGUUUUAAAUCUAGUAAAACUAAGAAAAAUUAAUUGUGAGAAAAGAAAUUAUUUGAAAUCAAUUUAAAAAAAUGCUAAAGUUUAGGAUCCACUCUUUGUAUUCAAACUAUAAUUUUAAUACUCUCUCAUUUAUAUUUUGCCUCACUUUUACCAAUUAAUUAUUAUAUCAUUUAAUUCUAUGUGUGUGGAUAAAUAUGAAAUAAAGUACCUAAUGUGCCACAUUAUAUUAAUAUGUCGACAUUAUGUUAAAAUACCAUACAGAUCCAAAGAGAUUUAUAAAUUAACAUGAUAUAAAAAUAAUUAGAAAAGAAUUAAAUAAACUUAAAAACUCAUUUGAGAAAAUAAUAAUAAUUAAUAAUUUGAAACAUUGAGCUUCACCCUUCACCUCAGCUUAAUAAAAUUAGCUACUCAUAUUGAAAGAAAACACAACACUCUUUUUAUUUGAUAAACUUUUUGAAAUAUAUUACAAAGAAAAUUGAUACAAACGGAAACAAGAAAAGAAAAGAAAGAAAGAUAGAAAUUCUUCAGUCUCGGCUUCAGCUCUCAAAAUAGCUAUCUCUCUCCUCCUUUAUGGCUUGCAUCCCCUUGCCUUUUAUAGGCAAGGGAAUCGUCUUCUUUUAUUUUAUUUUAUUAAUAUUAAUAUUUUAUUUUAUUUUUAUAUUAUAUAUAUAUAUAUUGAAUUGUGUGAUGGUCAGGAGGCGUGAUGGCCUCCUAACCAUCACCAACAUGCUUUUGUUCUUUUGUUCUUUUUUUAUUUUUUUAUUAUUUAUUUUAUUUAUUGUUUAUUAUUACAUCUCUUCAAUUGUGUUCCAGUAGUUCUUCUUUGUUCCCGCUUUCAAUUCCAAUUCCAUCUUUAUUCCUGAAAAAUAUUUACAAGAUAAAAAUUAACAAAUUACGAAUUAAUUUAACAUAAAUUAUAUUUGGGAAGUAUUAAAAUAAUUUAGAAAUAAUGAACGCAUUAAUCGACACAAUAAGUGAAAAACUAAUAAUUUUAUCCUUAUUAAAUGUACACUUUUUAGUGUCAAUCACACCCUCCAACCAGCUUAUUGCUAGACCCUAGCAAUUUAAGCGAUAAAAAUUUAGAGAAAUUUCAAAACCAAAUUGAAAAUCUUUUUUUUUUUUUGAAAAAUUGUGUUUACUUCCUUCUUCGGAUUAAUGACAACAAUCAAAUAAAAUUAUAAGCAUUAUCUUCAGCCUAAAGAAAAUCACACCCGCUCAAAACAGUUCGGUAAAAUCCUUUAAAAUGAUCAAUCAUCAGAGCUACAUUAAUCAACCCACUUUUAAGAAUGAUACAUCAAACCCCAAAAUCUCACGAUUAAGAGUGACUCUCUCAAAAGAAGAUAUAUCCCAAAUUAAUUUGUCACUCUAAAAAAUGGUAAAUUUGAGAGAAUAAUAAAACAAUAUCACACGCUCUCACCAAGAUGAAAAAAUAAUGCCCACAACUUAGAAAUAAAAUGAUCUCAAGUCCAAUGAAUUACUAGCAAAGUUUAUUUUUAUUUUUAUGUAUCACUACAUCUUUUAGUCCAUAUCACCAGCUUUUACUUCAGACUAUAGUUCCCUAAAAUCAAGAACUUUUAUUAGGAUGUAACGUAGGCUAGGGUCAUGGCUAACAAAAAAGGUAAUAGGGAAAACAAAAAUAUAUGUUUGAAAAAUAGGGGACAUUUUGGAGAAUACAAGGUGCUUUUCUUUUUUUCUUUUUUUUUUUGAGUUGUUUUUUGUUUUUGUUUCCUCUUUUCUUUUUCUUUUUAAUUUUAAUUUUAAUUUUUAUAUGCAUAUCCUUUUUUUUUUUUUAUAACACCAUUAUUAUGAAUACAUACUCAUCCCUAUUUUCAAACAUAAUUGGGUGGUGAAAAACAUAAAAUAUAAGGUGAUACUCUAUAUUGGAGUAGGAUAAGAUAAUAGGUUAUCAAAGGAAAAGUUUUUUUUUUUUUUUUUUUAUAAAGGCUCAAAGGGGUGAACUAUGGAUUCUCUAUAAUAAGGUUGGCUAGAAAGGUUCAAACGGAUCAAAGAUGGCAUUCUGUCAUCUUUUAGGGCUCUAAAUAAUCUUUUAUAUCCACUAGUUCAAUGGAUUUUUAGAUGCGGCUGCACAAUUUUUUUUUUUUUAACUUUAAAGAAAAUACAAAGAUCUUGUACAAUAAAUUGUGAAGUUGUAUAAGCAAACAAAGUUACUCUCCAAGGAUAAUAGGCUCAAAAACUCACUUGGACUUUUCAUAACAUGUACAUUCCUCCAAAUGGCUCAAUCAAUUUCACUCAUCCAAUUUCUCAAUUUACAUUUCAACAUGCAAAAAGGAAAACAUAGUGUAACAUAACUCAAGGCUAAAGAUAAUACAAAUACCAAAAUUUGAAAAUCAUCAUGUUAUCCAAUGUUAAAAGAUCACAUCGAAAAAGAAAACUCUUUUUUUUUUUUUAAAGAAACACUAAAAGAAAUUGAGAUUGAUUGCAGAAACUUAAGGGAGAUGAUUAAGAGAAAAAGAGAAAAAAGACAGAAAACAAAACGUUAGAAGACAUUUUUUUUUUUUGAAACAAAACACUAAACUUAAGAAGAUGCGUUUCUAGAGACACUACAUUCUAUAUUCUGCCAUCUUCGACUCAAAUUUUUUAUCCAAAGUUCGUCUUUACAACAAAAAUUAGUAAAAACAUCACUAGGACUGAGACAUUCCACAAUUAUCAACUAUUCACUCCCCCCAACCUGAAAGAGACAUUGUCCUCAAUGUCUAAAGAAAGGAGUAGAGUUUAGAAGAUAUCACCUGGCCACUGCUGGAAAUAUUUACAAACGGAGAGUUAAAUCUAAUUUACACUUUUUUCGAGAGUUACUGCCAUCGUUCUCAGUUGCCCAAUCCAAUGCCAAAGUCAUGGGAUCUGGCUCUGGUUUGUAAGCUUACAAAAGAUCAAGCAACUCAUUAGCAGUAUGAGUACAAAUGAAGAGUUUUUUCGCUGAGGAUGGAAUGAAAUAAUUUUUAAUUGCAUGAUUAAGAAAUGUUAUUAAGCCAUCAUAAAAAUUAUUAACAUUUAACAAAUCGAUGGGUUUUUUUAUGGAUAUUCAAAUGGGCCCAAGAAGCAAAUGUAAUUAGCGCUUCCAAAGUUGCAAGGUCUCCUGGCAAGAAAAUGAAAGCGUCAGCAUGUUUUAACAUUUCAGAUAUUCUUUCUUGCAUACCUGAGACAACUAACUCUUCUCCAGUUGGUGGGUCUGGUAGACAUCCUAAAGGUUUUAAGGCUUUUGGAAUGAUGCCUAGCACUUGGCUUCCUCGAACGAAAGCAGCUUCAGAGACAAGCUUUGAUAACCCUCGGCCACCUCCUCCAUAUACAAGAUGUAGUUUCCUCUCUGCUAUAGCACGACCAAGAUCCAUGGCUGCUUGAACGAACUCCUUAUAAUUUCCAUAGCAAAAUCCAGAGAGCACACAAAUGUUUUUAAGUUGACUGCUUGAAGUUGCUGCCAUUAGAACAAUUCUAAAAAGAAGCAAUAUGUGAGUGCUUGAAAAGAAGCUCCUAUUUAAGGAUCUUGGUGAUGGACAUAAUGAUAUACAUCUGUAAAUGGGGUGGUGUGUUUGUCAAAUGACGCGUGAAGCUUUUAGCUUAAUAAUUCAAAGGUAAACAGUGAAAAGAAAAAGGCAAACAAUGAUUAGAUAAAAUAAAGAAAAAAAAACACAAUAAUAAUAAUAAUAAUGCAAAAGAUAAAAGAACAGUAAAAUAAAAGGAUAUUUACUGGUAGUUGUGAUUGUGGCUCACAUCCUCCUCUGGUUUUACGUCCAGUAACGGCUUGAACGCCCUUUAUGGGUCGAGGAUAGGCUUCCCAUCCAAUUUUCUUAUAAACUGGCAAACAAGGUCUUUUAGAGCCAGACUCCUAAGACUAAACUAUGCACUUUCCUUUUGGAACAGCUUCCACAAAUUUUGAAUUUCACGUUGAACAUAUCCACUCGGAUGCGUCUCAAGAGAUCGUAAGAUAUCAUCCAACGAUUCUUUACUCAUGCCAUCCUUAACGAAUUUGAUUUUAUCAUCACGAUUUACAGAAACCAUUCCUAAAGUUUUACAAAGUGGCUUUUUGCAAGCAAGUCUUACACAAUGAGAAUAUUCAGAGCCAAGUCGCUUAGCUCUUCUUUUCUUAGCAAAUGUACUUUUACCAAAAUCAGGCAUGUAGGAAAUGAAUGGAUCAGAAAACUCACCUGCCAAUCGGACCUUUGCUUCAAUUAACCAGCAAAUGUCAGUAGGAAUCCCAUUGAUCAUUAACAAAUGCAGUCGUUCACAACGAGCUUUGUAAAUCUUCUUAAGAGCAUUUUGAGGGAGAGAAGGAAAAUGUUGAUGCAAAUUUUGUUGUAUUUCUUCCAUGCUUGACAUUGAGGUUUCAGUUAUUGUGGGAAACUGAGAAUACCGACUUAAAAAGUGACGGAGUACCGUUAUCCGCCAUUUAUACGGGAGAGUGAAUCAAAACAAAAUGAAUCAAAUCUUCGUCCUUUUAUUGAAUCCAGUUCUAAUUGCAGAUUAUAAAUACCAUCCUCUAUUUCCUUGAGUUGUCUUUCUAGAUCUUUCACGUGAGAUACUAACUCUGGUGGUUGCAGAUCCCAAAUGGGAUGUAAUUUACAAAAUCGAAGCAAUUUCCUCAGGUGAAAUUUUACAUGAAAAAACAUUUUAAGAUGAUUGAAAAGAAAAUUUCUCAUGGAGGUACUCAUGAAAAGUAUAAAAAUUUGGUGAGCUAAAUCACAAUUGUCAAACAACACACAAUUAGAACAAUGCAAUGCACUCCAUUCAAGACAUAGGAAAAACGAAAAAGAAAAAAAAUCAAAUAAUUCAAACGAUAAAGUAACAGUAAAUCAAAUUCACAAAACGUUAAAAUGAAAAUGCUUAAUCAAAAUUUUGGUGGGUCACUCAAAUAGAUUUCGGUAUCUGCUUCAUGUGGUUGGUAUUCCAGAUAUGGUUUCAAUCUUUGGCCAUUAACUUUAAAUGUGACACCAUCCUUUGGAUUCUCAAUUUCUACGGCUCCAUAUGGAUACACAUUUUUUUACAAUAAAUGGACCAUUCCACUUUGACUUUAACUUCACUGGAAAUAAAUGAAGACGAGAAUUAUAAAGCAACACUUUUUGACCAAUUUCAAAUGUUUUCCGAAAAAUGCUUUUGUCAUGAAAAAAUUUGGUUCUUGCCUUAAUAAUUCUGGAAUUCUCAUAUGCAUCAUUCCUUAAUUCCUCAAGUUCAUUUAUUUGCAAUUUACGCACAUUGCCAGCAUCAUCAAGAUUUGAAUUAAAAGCUUUAAUAGCCCAAAAUGAUUUAUAUUCAAGUUCUACUGGUAAGUGGCAAGAUUUUUUAUAAACAAGCUGAUAGGGUGACAUUCCUAAAGAUGUUUUAAAAGCAGUACGAUAUGCCCAAAGUGCAUCAAUUAGUCGAAGAGACCAAUCUUUACGGUUUGGAUUAACUGUCUUUUCUAAAAUUUGUUUUAUCUCCCUAUUGGCUAAUUCAACUUGACCACUUGUUUGAGGGUGAUAAGGGGUAGCAACCUUAUGUGUAAUUCCAUAUUUCUUCAUUAAGGACUCAAAUGGCUUAUUACAAAAAUGCUUACCUCCAUCACUGAUAAGGGCUCGAGAUAUUCCAAAUCUGCUCAAAAUAUUUUCUUUUAAAAAGCGGAUCACAAUCUUGUGAUCAUUGUGCCGACAAUGAAUCACCUCGAUCCAUUUUGAAACAUAAUCAACAACAACCAAAAUGUAUACAAAUCCAAAUGAUGAUGGAAAAGGGCCUAUAAAAUCAAUUCCCCAACAAUCAAAUAUUUCAAUGACAAGGAUGGGGUUUAAAGGCAUCAUGUUUCGCUUUGAAAUAGACCCUAUCAUUUGACAAUUCUUACACAUUUUACAGAAUGCAUGUGAAUCUUUAAAUAAUGUAGGCCAAUAAAAUCCACACUGCAAUAUUUUUGCAGUUGUCUUUUUUGAAGAAAAAUGGCCACCACAUGCUUCAGAAUGACAAAAUUGAAUAACCAUACUUACCUCGUCGUCUGGUAUGCAUCUUCGAAAAAUUUAAUCGGAGCAGUACUUGAACAGGUAUGGUUCAUCCCAGUAAAAACUUUUCACUUCUGUUAAGAAUUUCUUCUUGUCUUGGGAACUCCAGUCACAUGGCAUUUCACCUGUUGCAAGAUAAUUAACAAUAUUAGCAUACCAAGGCAUUUUAUUUAUAGAAAACAAAAAUUCAUCAGGGAAAGAAUCAUUGAUGGGUGUUGUUUCAAUUGAAGACUCAUUUGUAAGUCUUGAAAGAUGAUCUACAACAACAUUUUCAGCGCCCUUUUUGUCCUUGAUUGUCAAAUUAAAUUAUUGAAGUAGCAAAAUCCAUCGUAUCAACCUUGGUUUGGCAUCCUGCUUUGACAUUAAAUAUCUCACAGCAGCAUGAUCAGAAUAAACAACAGUAGAUGAAACAAUUAAAUACGAACGAAAUUUAUCCAAUGCAAAUAUUACAACAAGUAGUUCUUUCUCAGUUGUAGUGUAAUUCAUUUGAGCACUAUUUAAAGUUCUACUUGCAUAAUAGAUGACAAAGGGCUUACCUUCCUUUCUUUGACCUAGAACAGCGCCAACAGCAUAAUCACUAGCAUCACACAUUAGCUUAAAAGGCAAAGACCAAUCAAGGGGUUGCAUUAUUGGGGCUGAUGUCAAAAGAGUAGUUAUUUUUUGAAAAGCUUGUUGACAAUCUUUAGUCCAUUCAAAUUGUGUGUCUUUUAUUAGGAGGUUACAAAUUGGUCUAGAUAAGGCACUAAAGUCUUUUAUAAACCUCUUAUAAAAUCCUGCAUGUCCUAAAAAAGAACGGACUUCUCUAAUUGUUUUUGGUGAGGGUAAUUUUGAAAUGACUUCAACUUUGGCUUUAUCAACUUCGAUUCCUUUUGAAGACACAACAUGGCCCAAGACAAUUCCAGAAGUGGUCAUGAAAUGGUAUUUUUCCCAAUUUAAAACUAGGCCUUUUUCUUUGCACCUUUCCAAAACUUUUUCUAGAUUAUCAAGACAUGUAUCAAAAGAAUUACAAAAUACAGUUAAAUCAUCCAUAAAAACCUCUAGAUAAUUUUCAGCCAUGUCACUAAAAAUGCUUAGCAUGCACAUUUGAAAUGUUGCAGGAGCAUUAGAAAGUCCAAAGGGCAUUCUCCUAAAUGCAAAUGUUCCAAAUGGGCAUGUGAAUAUGGUCUUUUCCUGGUCUUCUAAGGCUAUAAGGAUUUGAUAAUAGCCAGAGUAGCCAUCAAGAAAGCAGUAGUAGGGAUGUCCAGCUACUCUUUCGAGAAUUUAGUCUAGAAAUGGAAGGGGAAAAUGAUAUUUUCUAGUGGCAUCAUUUAAUUUUCUGUAAUCAAUGCACAUGCACCAACUAGAUGGAAUUCGUGAUGGGAUUGGUUCACCUUUUUCAUUUUUUACAACAGUUAUUCCAGAUUUCUUUAGUACUACUUGUGUUGGACUUACCCAUUUACUAUCGGAGAUAUGGUAGAUAAUUCCUACAUCUAGUAGGUUAAGGACCUCAUUCUUUACCACUUCUUUCAUAUGAGGGUUUAAUCUUCUUUGUGGUUGACGGGUUGUUUUGGCAUUUUCCUCUAAGUGUAUUCGGUGUGUGCAAAUUAAAUGAUUAAUGCCUUUUAUUUCUUUUAAGGUCCAACCAAAUGCAGUUUUGUGCCUUUUUAGUACAGAUAACAACUUACCUUCUUGAUCAUGCGUGAGCUGUGAAUAAAUUACCACCGGAUAUGUCUGUUGCUUUCCAAGAUAUGCAUACUUCAAUUCUUCUGGUAAGGGCUUUAAUUCGAGCUCUGGUGCUUCCUCUUCAUUUAGUUCUUCAGGUUGUACCGUAUCUUCAAAGUUUGAUCGGUCAUCAUCACCUAUAGGUACCUGCAUAGAAUCAAGUGUAGGGCAUAUGUUAGCAGUAUCACAAUCUAAUUCCUUACUUGAUUCAAAAGAACCAGUAAAACAAAUUUCCGCAGAGUUUGUAAAAUUCUCAUCCUGAAUGUGUUCCUCAAUGAUUGGCUCGAUGAGAUCAAUCUCCUCAUUCUCAUUAUCAUCAUCUUCUUGGUGGUGAGGUUGUUUACACAUAUUGAACACAUUAAGUUCCAGUGUCAUGUUGCCGAAAGAUAAAUUCAUUAAUCCAUUCCUGCAAUUAAUCAAAGCAUUAGCAGUAGCUAAAAAUAGUCGACCCAAUAUAACAUGAAUUUGUUUGCAUUCAUUACCAAUUAGUUCCGUUUCCAAAAUAAUAAAAUCCACAGGAUAUAUGAAUUUAUCGACCUAGACUAAUACAUCUUCAAUUAUUCCUUUUGGAACCUUAAUCGAUCUAUCAGCAAGUAAAAGAGUGGUAGAAGUUGGUUUUAACUCACCGAGAUUGAGUUGUUGGUACAUUGAGUAAGGAAGCAAAUUAACAUUGGCAUCAAGAUCAAGUAAAGCAUGUCCAAUUUAAUGAUCCCCAAUAGUGCAAGAAAUAAUUGGACAACCAGGAUCCUUGUAUUUCAAAGCACUAUUGGUUGAGAGAAUAUAACUUACCUGUUCUGCUAGAAAAGCUCUCUUUUGCACCUUAUGUUUCCUUUUCACUGUGUUUUCUUUGCCUUUUUCAUCUUUAUCAAGCUUGGUUGUUGUGCUCAUCAGAGUAUUUUUGGUCUUUGAGUCAUCAAUGCCGAAUCUUUUGAGUAGAUCUUUUACAUACUUGGCUUAAUUUAUGAAAAUUCCUUCCUCAUUUUGUUUUAUUUGCAGCCCAAGGAAGUACUUCAACUCUCCCAUCAUACUCAUUUCAAAUUCAUUACUCAUGCAUGAUGAAAAUUCUUUACACAACAAUUCAUUAGUAGAACAAAAAAUAAUAUCAUCAACAUAAAUUUGAACAACAAGUAUGUCUUUGUUCUUAUAUUUGACAAAGAGAGUAGUAUCCACUUUACCCAUUGAAAAAUCAUUUUCUAACAAGAAAUUCUUAAGCCUAUCAUACCAUGCUCUAGGUGCUUGUUUUAAUUCAUACAAAACUUUAAAUAACUUAUAAACAUGAUUUGGAAAUUUUUCAUUUUCAAAACCAGGGGUUUGUUUUACAUACACUUCUUAUGUAAUAUACUCAUUUAAGAAAGCACUUUUCACAUCCAUUUGAAAUAAAAUGAAAUCUUUAUAACAUGCAAAUGUCAACAACAUUCUAAUUGAUUCUAGUCUAGCUACGGGUGCAAAUAUUUCAUCAAAAUCAAUUCAUUCUUCUUGGUUGUAACCUUGAGCCACUAAUCUAGCUUUAUUCCUUACAACCAUACCAGAUUCAUCCAUCUUAUUUCUAAAUACCCAUUUAGUACCUAUGGUGGAUUGAUGUUCCGGCUUAGGAACUAAUUCCCACACAUUGUUUCUCUCAAAUUAAUUUAACUCCUCUUGCAUUGCCAUAAUCCAAGAUUCAUCAUUUUCCGCAUCCGAAAAUGAUUUGGGUUCAAUUUGAGAAAUGAAUGCAUUAUGCUCACAAGUGUUCCUAAGUGAUGAUCUAGUUGUAACACCUCGUGAGGGAUCUCCUAAAAUUACAUCCUUAGGGUGAGAAGAAACAUACCUGCACUCUUUGGGGAGUGAUUGAGAAAUACCUUCAUUUUGCUCUACAUUCGUUUCUUCAUUUUGCUCAUCUUGAUUCCCAUGAGACGCAUCCUUUUGGUUAUCUUUUGAUGACUCUUUUUGUAAUUUUUCAUCUGCAUCAUUAUCAACAACAACUUUCUCCGUAUAGGAAAGGUUAGAUUCAUCAAAUGUAAUAUGCAUAGAUUCUUCUACAACUAGAGUUCUUUUGUUAUAAACUCUAUAAGCUUUGCUUGAGUUUGAAUAUCCAAGAAAAAUUCCUACAUCGGAUUUUGGAUCAAAUUUGCCAAGAUUAUCUUUUGUGUUCAAAAUAAAACAUUUGCAUCCAAAAACUUUGAAAUAACCAAUAUUGGGUUUUCUAUCUUUCCAAAGCUCAUAUGGAGUUUUAUUAAAGUUAGAUCUAAUCAACACACGAUUUAAAACAUGACAAGCCGUGUUGACGGUUUAAAACAUGACAAGCCGUGUUGACGGUUUAAAACAUGACAAGCCGUGUUGACGGUCCGGCCCAAAAAUACUUAGGCAAUGAAUUUUCAUUCAACAUAGUCCUAGCCAUUUCUUAAAUUGACCUAUUCUUUCUCUCAACAACUCCGUUUUGUUGUGGAGUUCUAGGUGAUGAAAAUUGAAGCACAAUGCCCAAAUUGUUACAAAAGGUUUCAAAUGCAUGAUUUUCAAACUCUCCUCUAUGAUCACUCCUAAUGCAUGCAAUACCAUACCCUUUUUCAUUUUGAAUUUUCUUACAAAGCACUUUAAAAGCAUUAAGAGCAUCAUCCUUAUUAGCUAAUAAUAAUACCCAUGUAUAUCUAGAAUAAUCAUCCACAAUCACAAAUGCAUAAUAUUUUUCAUUUAAACUAGCAUAUCUAGAAGGCCCAAAUAAAUCUAUGUGCAGAAGUUGAAGUGGUUUUGAAGUAGAAAUAUGAUUUUUAUUUUUGAAAGAUGUUUUGAUUUGUUUUCCAAAUUGACAAACUUCACAAAUCUUAUCUUUUUGAAAACCAAUUUUUGGAAGACCUUUAACUAAAUCAUUUUUCGAAAUUUUCAAAAUCAAAUUCAUACUUGCAUGACCUAGUCUUCUAUGCCAUAACCAACUAUCAUCAUGCAAUGUCGAAAAACAUUUAUCAAGAGUAGAUGCACAUUCUAUGCCAAUGAUAUACACAUUACCACAUCUAUUUCCAACAAAUAAGAUCUUGCCAUCACAUGAAUUCUCAAUGACACAACUAAAUUUAUCAAAAACAACUUUAUAACCUUUGUCACAUAAUUGACUAAUACUAAUCAAGUUGUGUUUCAAGUUCUCAACCAAACAUAAAUUCUUAAUUAGAGUUGAGGAAACUUUACCAACAUUUCCAAUUCCGAGAAUUUUUCCUUUUGAGUUAUCUCCAAAAGAUACAUCUCCACCAUUUUCAAUUUUGGUGAAGCUUGAGAACCAUGCAUAGUUUCCAGUCAUGUGCCUUGAACAACCACUGUCCAAGUACCAUUUGUUUUUCUUCUUCUUCAAGUCUUGCAGAGAAAAUCUCAAGUUUUAGGUACCCAAAAUGUUUUUGGGUCCUUGAGACUUAGUUAUAGUUCCUUUUGGAACCCAAAUGCAUUUCAUACCAUAAUAUGCAUUUCUUUUUACUGGACACCUAUUUUUCAUAAGACCAUCUUGAUUACAAAAAUGACAUACAACUUGAUUGCUACUAGAUGUACUUUUCACAAAGUAGUUCUUAUAAUAUUUUUGUUUCAAGUUUGGCUUAUAACCAAUAGUUCCUUUGUCAAACACACAUUUUUGUGAAUUUAGCAUGCUAUCCAACAUCUUUUGCCCAUUUGUAAAUUUCAAGACAAUUUCAUUUAACUCAUUGCUCUUUUUCUUAAGCGUUUCAUUUUCAUUUUUCAAAUCAUUUAUGUGUGAUUCUAAAUGCUCAUGUGAAGUGCUAGGUUUCUCUUUUGAUACUGCAAUUCUAUCAUGAAAUGUUUUGUUCUCCAUUUCUAGGCAUGUAAUUUUAGCAUUUAGAGAUUCAUUUUCAUUUUUAAGUUUUGCCAUUUCCUUUUUAAGACAUACAUUCUUUUUACCAAUCUUCAUCAACUCAUUAUGCAAUUCUUUAAAAGCAUCAUACGAUUCAUCAUAGGUAGGAUCACUUACCUUAUUGAGAUCAUCAUCCUCUCCUAUUGCCAUAAGCGCUAGGUUUGAUACUUCUUGCGACUCUUCUUCAUCACUUGAAUCUUCCUCGCUAUCAUCCCAAGUUGCAACCAUGGCUUUCUUCUUGAGUUUGUUGAUAAGUGGGCACUCCGAUCUUAUAUGGCCAUGCUUCUUGCAUUCAUAGCAUGUGAUUACCUCUUUCUUCUCCCUUUGGUUCUUGAAGUUUUUGAAUUUUCUUCGCUCUCCGGUUUUCUUGAAAAAUUUUCUAAACCUCCUUGCUAGCAUGGCCAACUCUUCAUCAUCCGGUUCACUCUCCCAAUCACUCUCAUAUUUUGAAGCUUUGAGAGCAAUGCUUUUCUUCUCCUCCUCAUGCCCUUUUUCUGCUGCCAAAUCUUCUUCAUAUGAAAUGAGAGAACCAAUUAAAUCAUUAAGAGGUAAAAUAUUUAAAUUUUUGGCCUCUUCAAUAGCGGUUCUUUUAGGUCUCCAUUCUUUGGAAGUGACCUAUUGAUUUUCUUAACUUUUUCGCUAUUUGAGAAGGUCUUUCCUAGGGCUCCUAGGGUGUUUACUAUAUCCGUAAAUCUAGUAUACAUAGAGUAAACACUCUCAUUUUGUUCCAUUUGAAACAACUCAUAUUGUCGAGUGUACCUACUAAUUUUUGACUCUUUCACUUGAUUUGUGCCUUCAUAGACAACUUCAAGUUUGUGCCAAAUUUCAUUGGCACUUUCACAACUAGAUACUCGUUGAAAUUCUUUCUUAUCAAGUGCACAAAAUAAAGCAUUCAUAGCUUUGUAAUUUAGAGAAGCUUUUCUCUUUUCCAAUUCAUUCCAUUCCCGUGAAGGUGUUGGAAUAUCUUCCCCGACUUCAUUUUUAGUUAAGGGCAAAAACGGACCAUCACAUACAACUUCCCAAAUUUCAUAAUCUAGUGCUUGUAAAUAAAUUCUCAUCCUAGUUUUCCAAUAUGGGUAGUCAUUUCCGUCAAAGAGCGGUGGUCUAGUUGUGGACUGUCCUUCCCUAAAUGUUGAGUCAUUUUGGGUUGCCAUGGAUCUUUUACUCUAGACGGUUAAAUCUGAACAAGAGAACCAAGCUCUAAUACCAAAUGAAAUACAAGUUUGCAACCUAAGAGGGGGGGUGAAUUAGGAUUCUAAAAAUUAUUAUGCAAAUCUAAAAUGAAUUUAAAGCAAUAACAAUUAAAUCAAUUACAAUAUAAAAAGAUAAGGGAAGAGAGAUUCAAACAUGAAGAUUUUUACGUGGUUUGGCCAACCUCGCCUACGUCCACGCCUCCAAGCUUUCCGGGCUUGAAGAUUUCACUAAGCAAGCCUCCAAGGCUUCAAAUGCUUACACUUGACAUCCAAAGUGUCAGUAACCCUUUACAACAAGAGAUUAUCCCCAAUCUCUUAACUCAAGUGUAACCCAACACUUACAAUCACUCAAAAUAAAAUAUUACAAAUUGUUUUUCUCUCACACAAUAUUUAAGAUUACAAAUUAAUGCCCAAUGUGUGAAUAGAUGAAGCAAGAAUGUGUUUAAAGCUCUAUGAAGAUUGUAUUCUCGAAUAUAAGCUCAAUAGUCGUGUUGUGAUCAACCUUAUUUGAAUUUGAAUGAGCUUAUUUAUAGUUGGAGCUGAAAAACUAGCUGUUACAGACUGUCUGCCCGAAAACGGUUCGCCAUUAACCAUUAUCGGUUAACCGUUUAGACUAGUCAAAGUUACCGUUGGGCCAAAUUUUAAAUAAAUGAUUUGCCAUUUAGGCUUACCCUUUCGCUGUUAAAUUCCAGAGACCUGUAAGAUAAACUUUAGUUAUCUGUUUACAUUAAACGGUUAAAGAUUUGCACGAAAUAACCUUUCUGGAAUUUAUCGGUUAGCCGUUUGUAAUUAACGGUUCACCGUUUAUUUCCAGUAACCUAUAGAACAAAAUUAGCCUUAUCCGUUUCAAUUAAACUUUUGCCGUUUGUUUCCAGUAACAAGAUGAGUACAAUCUUCCAUUCUGGAUUUUAUCGGUUAACCGUUUCAAUAAACGGUUCACGGUUUAAUUCCAGUAGCCUUCUCAGCAUUUUGUGUUUUUCAUUUUUCUUAACCGGUUAGAGCUUAAGCAAUUCGUUACUCUAUGGAUUUAAUUGGUUAACCGUUUAAAGGAAAAUGAUUCACCGUUUAUUUUCAGAAUCACAGUUUUAGCCAGAUAUUGCAGAGAAUUAUUUUUCAAUUUCAAGUUUAACAGUUAUCCAACUUUUAUGAAUAUAAUAGGAAUGAUUAUAAGGCUUUCGUUUAUUAAUGAAUAUCUCCAACAUUUUAAUAAAAAAUAUUUAAAGUUUGUUAGCAUCAAAAUCAAUAUUAUGAACAUAUACAUGUUAACACCUAUGCAUGAAAAUGAACACUAGGAAAGUUUCCAGGAAAGACUGGAGGGUUACAACGAUCCCGCUUAAAACCCAAGCUCCUUAGGCUCUUAUUGUCUUUGUGAUAGAACUUUUCUAGAUAUGUGCACAACCAUACAGUUGCUCCACUCACCACUAUUCCCUACUUUGUACCGCAAAAUUCUCGUAUAUGCUUUCACUGUUUCACAUGAAUAGUACCUUGUAUUUGAAUAGUACUAUAGUGUGAACAAUAUCGUAUUUAUGAACAAUAGCCCGACUCCAAGAAAUACAGCCAAUGGCUCUGAUACCAUUGUUAGAAAAUUGAUGGGUCAAGUGGACACAUAACUAAAUUGAAAUUGAGAAACAAUGAUCAUACAAGAAUACUAGAAUUACGUAAUUCGGAUUUUAGCCUACAUUCACGAGUAAAAAUAGAAGGAUAAUAGUUUUUUUACUUGUGAUGUAGAGUAUACAAGUAUUAAAAAUAUUUUACCUCACUACCCAAGACUCUUAAUAUUCCCAAUACUCUCACGCACUAAACUCUCAAAAGCAUUAUCAUUUUAAGCUCUCUAAAUCUCUCUCACAACUCUCAGUUCUCUCUUCACAAAAAGAAGGAAAAAAAAUAGAUUAAUGCCCUCAAUUGAGAUACGCUUUCUUUAAUAGGCAAAAUUUUGCCAAAAACAUUCAACAAUUGUAGGCUUCAAAAUCAAAUAAUGCGGCACCGAAUUCAAUGUGCCGCUUUUGGUGAGCAAAGUUGUCGGUUGUUGAGCCACCGACUUCGACAUGAUUUGCGUGAGCAAAUAGUUUGUUUGGAAUUAAAAAUUGGUUUGGCUGCCAUAGAAAUUGAGUGGUUCUUCAUUGUGGGUUCUGAUUUGUGGCCUUAAUUGAUUUGAAAUUGAUUUGAGUUCACUUGAUGAGAUUGUGUCUGAUACGCUGAACUUCUUUUUUCACUCAAAAUUUGAUCAAGUGAUUGUGUAUGAUACGUUCUAACUGAGGAUUAUGAGUCAAUGUAGUUUCAUCAUAAUGUUCUUGCAACUUGACUCUCCAAAAUGAUUUCUGGAGGAUGAAAAUGUUUUUGUUAGCACAUUUAUAGUAGGGAUGGCACAUAAUGUAUGGUGAGGUAUAUCUCAUGUGUCCCUCCAAAAUGGUUUUCCUCACUUCUUUGUACCUGUGUUUUUGUUUUGAUAAUUUAUUGUACAUUUAAUCCCAGUAGUUGUAUGUUUAGACGAGCUUUUAGAUUCAGCUUGCAAUGGAUGCUUUGCAAUAAAAAUUGUAAACCAAAGCACAAUGUCUUCAACUAUGCUUUUUUACACUUAUGGUUUCUCAAUACCUUCUCACCUGGUUUCUCUCAUUAAUUUGUUGUUGGGUUUUGAUAUAUUUUCGGAAUGUUUGAUAAUGUUUUGGUUUCUUAAGAUUACUUUUGAAUGGUUCAAAAUUAAAAAUGUUAGAUUGAUAAGUUUUUUUUUCUUUUUCCUUUUUAAGAUUUGACAAUUUUGACGAUAUGAUCAGGUUAAUAACUUAGAUGAUUUAUUUAAUGGCUUCAUAAUUUUAUAUAAUUUUGUAGAUAUAAUUGACUUCGAGCAAUUGCAUAUAAGUAAGAAGAAAAUGUAAAUCAUGUAGUCAUAUAAUAAUAAAAAAAUGAAAUUAAUAUGUUUUUGUAGAAAAUAUUUGGCAAUCAAUAAUACUAGUAGAAAAAUGUAAAAUUGUUUGCGGGAAAAAAAUUGGCAAUAAAAGGUGGUGCAAAAGAAGUGAAAUCAAUUGAUUUUAGUAGGGAUGACAAUGGAUCGGAUUUGACUCAAGAUCCAUCUUAUUAAAAUCAAAUUGGAUUGAAUUUGGGCCGAUUUAAAAUGGAUUUCGAUUGGAGUUGGAUAUCGAUGUGCGGAUCUAAGAUGAAUUUGGAACAGGUCUGAAUCUAUCUUAAUAUAUAGAUCCAAAUCCAUAUCCACAUAUCUUUUAAUUUUAUUUAAUUUUAAAAAUUUCUUAACAAUUUUGUAAUUAUAAAUGAUAAAAAAUUUUAUUCAUGUAUUUAAAAAUCGUAAAACUUAAAUAUUAAUUUUUUAAAAUUAAAUGAUAAUAGGGCAAAAAUAAUUAAGGUUAGCCAGCCUUAAAGCAUGCACAUACAAUAUUCAAAUUGCAAGUCAAGUAAUACUGUAAUAGCACCUGUCAACUUGUUUUAUUAUAUUGGCCAAAUAUUUUUUAAGGAAUAUAGUUAUUCGUCCCAUGCACUCGUGCAUAUUAUCUCAAAAUUAACUUUCCAAAUUGUCCUUGAAAAGAGGCAUACGAAAACGAUUAAACAAACGUCUUAUUAUUUUUUUAAGUUGGCACUUCAAUUUGCCCUAAUUUCUUUUAAUUAUUCAUUCUUUAGUUCAAUUCAACGUCAGCCUUUUUCUUUCUCUUCAAUAUACUCUCGGUUCUUUACUUCGUUUGAAUGCUUGGAUCAGUCCUUUAAUUGCCAGGUAAGUUGUUAGACUUGAUUUUUUUUUUACCAUUAUUUGUUUAUGUCCUUAUUCAUAUUGUGUCAUCACUAAUCAGUGUAGCUAUCUCUAUAGUUUAAUUAAAUGAUACUAAAUUAGGAAUAUGGCAAUCAUCAAAUUACGUAUUAGUUUUCCAUUAUCCUUGCUUAAUUUUGAUUGUUAACCAGUAUUAUAUACCUGUAGGUUAGCUUUUAUUUGAAUAUAUUCUAAAUUCUGAUAGUUGAUUUCAUUAAUAAAGAAUCGGUGUGAAUGAAGAUUAAAUGAGAAGAUUUUAAUUAUUUUUUUAAUUUAUGCUCCUAAUUUUAAAUAUUCACUAAAAAAAAAUUGUAUUUAUUUACUUGUCUAAUAGUGAUGCAUAAUAAUAAUUUUUUUUCAGUGACAUAGACACUUAAUGUUUUUGGUUAUUUCUUCAUUUAGGUGAAAUAUGCAUUUCAGUCUUAAUUUGCCACAGUCAGAAAAUGAUGAUGAUGGGCAUGAUGUUGUUGAAGUAAUUGAACCAUCAAAUGGGAUAGAGUUGAAUUCGACUUCACCAAUUCCUAAAGAUGAAACUGUUGUUGUGAGUAAAAAGUUGAAGUCUAUUGUGUGGAAUCAUUUUUCAAGGCAAAAGAUUAAUGGACAGUUGAAAGUAGUUUGUAACCAGUGCAAUGGAAAGUUGGUUGCCGGAGGUGGAACGAACCAUUUACAUAAGCACUUGCUUAGAUGCCCAUGACGUAAGCAACCAACAAUCAAGAAUGCUAUGUUGAAUGCUACUCAAAAUAAAGGGAAACCCUAAGUUGGGGCAUUUUCUUUUGAUCAUGACACGUCAAGAAGAGAGCUUGCAAAUAUGAUUAUCAAGGAUGAAUAUCCUCUUAGUAUGGUUGAACAUUCUGCAUUCAGUAAGUUAGUUAGUUCUUUACAACCCAUGUUUAAGGUCAUUUCUCAAAAUACGCUGAAGAUAGAUAUCUUCAAGUGAUAAUCUAAGAUAAUGAAGUUGUUGGGGAGCAAUCAAAGUGAAAUCUCUAUUACUACUGAUUUAUGGACUUCUAAUCAAAAUAUGGGUUGUAAAUAAUUUUUAGAGGCUGCAAAGUCGCCUCAUAAGGUAUUUUCUAUAGCAUCAUUUAUUUAUAUCUUUGUCAUUUCCUUUUCAUUAUGAUUAAUAAACACUCAAUUCAUAUAAUAAUAUUUUGGUUAUGCUAUUUGUCAUUUUUAUUGAGGUUUAUACAUGUGAUGUGUCCACACACUGUUGAGGUGCUUUCCGAUAAUUUAAUGGAAUGCUUAUUAGAUUGGAAUAUUGAUGGAAAAUUGUGCUCUUUAACAGUUGAUAAUACCACUGCUAACGAUGCUAUGGCUGUUGUCCUCUUAGACAAACUUUCUAAUUCAUUAUUAUUAAAUGGGAGGUUGUUUCAUAUGCAUUAUUGUGCACAAAUCUUGAAUUUGAUAGUGAAGGAUGGGUUAGAUGUCACUGGUGAAAGUAUUGAGAGAAUUUGUAAUAGUGUUUCUUAUUGGAAAAUGACACCAAAAAGGCAUAAAAAAUUUAUGAAGGAUGUUCGUGAAUUAAAAAUUUCAAGCACCAAGCAAUUGAUUCUUGAUUGCAAAGCGAGGUGGAACUCUAACUAUUACAUGCUUAACACUGCUUUAGUUUAUAAAGAAACAUUUUCUUGUUUAAAACCACAAGAACUGCAAUAUAAAUAAUUGCCUAGUGAAGAAGAUUAGGAGUUUGCAAAAGAAAUUUGUUGUAGGCUUGAAUUCUUUGAUGAAGUUGAUUGCAAAACGAGGUGGAACUCUAACUAUUACAUGCUUGACACUGCUUUAGUUUGUAAAGACACAUUUUCUUGUUUAAAACCACGAGAACUACAAUAUAAAUCAUUGCCUAGUGAAAGAAGAUUAGGAGUUUGCAAAAGAAAUUUGUUGUAGGCUUGAAUUCUUUGAUGAAGUUAUAAAGUUUUUUUCUGGCCCGAAAUAUCCCACAAACAAUUUGUAUUUUUAUUGUAUUUGUGAGAUUAGAAUAUCUAUUUCUAAAUGGCUAGGUUCUAGUAAUGAAAAAAUAAGGAUAAUGACAAAGAAAAUGUUAGAAAAAUAUGACAAAUAUUGGAGUGUGAUUAAUGAGUUAAUGGCAAUGGCAACUAUUUUUUACCCUAGGUAUAAGAUGAAACUAGUAGAAUACUAUUUUCCUAUACUUUACAGAGUUGAUUGUGAACAUAGAAUUGGGAUUGUCUGUAAAUAUUGUUACGAUUUAAUGAAGGAAUAUAAGCAAAAUCAUGUGCACAUGUUUAUCAAUCUAAUGAGCCCUUAAUUACUCAAUCCCUAAUGCAGGCAUUUCAUUUAGGAAGGGAACAACGUAGAGCUAUUUUUAAGAAAUUUGUUAAUCAAAGUACUAGUACUGACCAUGUGAAGUCUAAGCUAGACUAUUAUUUAGAGGAAUCUGUUCUGCCUCGAACUGAUACCAUUGACAAACUAGGGGGGGUGGAAGGUGAAUGGAUCUAAAUAUCCUACUUUGUGCAAUCUUGCUAAGGAUAUUUUGGCUAUUCAUGUAUCCACAGUUGCAUCUGAGUUUGCAUUUAGUACCAGUGGUAGAUUUAUGACACCACAUCCCAAUAUACUCUAUCCAAAUACAUUAGAGGCUUUAAUGUCUUGUCAAGAUUGGUUAUUGGCUGAAAAUGCAGGUACAAAUUUUUAUAAUUGAAUUCUUUAUUUUAUAUUCACUAUUUUUUGUCUAAUUAAUUAAAUUUUUAUUUAAUUUUUGUGCUCAGAAUCAAAUUUAUGUUCUUCAAUACAUACCAGAUUGACAUAUUCAGAAGAUGUGGACAUGGAUGAGGUAAAAUUAACUAUGUCAUUCAUAUAUUUAGUUAAAUAUAGUCAUAAUAAAAAUAAUAAAGCACUAAAUAUAUUUAACUUAUAUGUCAUUAUCUAAUGUUGUAGGAAAGAUGAUGGUUGUGCCGUGAUAGUAAGAUGAUGGAGAUAAUAAAAUAUUAGAUUGAUCUUACUACUGCAAUUACUUUUGAAGGAUAUUUUAUUAUCUUUCUUAUUUGCUUGUUUUGGUGAAAAAGCAUAAGGCACAAUAUUUAUUAGAUUUUUGAGACAAAUUAUAUAAUUUAAUUGUUAUCAAUACAUUUUAGUUUUUUAUUUUCAUUCUAAAAAAUUAUUGCUCUUUUAUUGUUAAGUUUUAGAAUUCACGCCAGAUAUAGAACAUAUUUAAAUUUUAUUUUUUUUUAGAUUUAGAGCAGAUAUAUAUAUUUAUUUCUUUUUUAGUUCUAGAUAUGUAGUAAACAACAUAGGUUUAUGAUAGAUCUAGAGCAAAUGCGAAUCUCAAUUUUUACUAUGGAUCUGGAUGUAAAGUAAUGUAAAUCCAACUCAUAUCUGCCCCAUUGCCAUCUUGAGAGUUUAGUUGUGGCCAAUUUUAUUGUGACAAAGUUCCCUGCAAAUUCUUUUUCCAGGGUGAAAAAUGGCUACAAAAAGUUAGGAACUUUUUGCGGGGGAACUUAUUGCAGCUAACAUUUCGGCCACAAAUACUCAAGUUUUGGCCGCAAAAAGGUAUUUAUGGCCAAAUUUGGUUUAUUUGUUGGGAAUUCUUUUGGCCGCCAAGACUCUUUUUUCUUGUAGUGGGCCUGCUUAUAAAGCAGAUUGAAGAGACAGAAGAUUAAUCAUACAACAUUUUCGAUUCAUAUCUAUAACAUGGCUGUUGCUUGUAGACAAAUUUUGCCUAUCAUUAUUCUUACAUUGUGCUUAAUGUGCAAUUAUAUGAUUGUAGAAGGAAAUGAAUCUUUGGUGACGGUCCAUGUAAGCGUAGAUAUGCCUGCCCCUAGUCCUUGUUUAUAUGUAACAUGGGUUAAUUGCACUGGGAUGUGGUACAAGCUGACGCCAGGUGAGGAGUUUCAUUUUACAGAUGACAGAACGAGUCGUUAUGUGUGCCAUGCAAUGUGGCGUGACAAAGAGGGAAUUUGGCUUGCAUUCGAGUCUGUAAGAGAUCGAAAUCAUACAAAAGUCUUUUCUUCGUUGAGAGAGGAUGGAUUCUUUUUGAGUUAUGAUCAGUGUAAUUGGUCUAAGUUGAGUGAAUGGCAUGUUUAGAAUUGUUUCGACUUUUGUUCUAGAGUUUAUCAUGAUUUAAUAAUAAGCACAAUACAAUAAUAAUUAUGGUACUUUUGCCUUUUAGACUUUCUUUUAGCGCUUGUUCAAGCAGUUUCGAUUUCGUUGUCAAUUCUAAUAAGUACUGUUAAAGUGAUUUUCAAUUUUUAUCAAGUGCUUGAAUGUGUAAUUGAAAUUGCAUUUUUGAUGAGAGCUAAAUAUAAUGAUGAAAAGCGUUUAACAAGCAUUUUUUUAUUAAGUGAUUUUCAUAGAAAAUUUCUCAAACGCAUAGGUUGGGCCAUCAAAUUUCAUGAAGAGGAUGGAGUAUUUACUGGUAGAAAUUAGAGAAGACAAUUGUCCCGGAUGGGAAGGAAUUUGACAAUCUUGCUCCCGUUUGGGUUACUCAAACAGGAUAUACAUAUGGAUUCAAUUCCAUGUCAUAUGUGAGUUUGGGAUCAAAAUUAGGACCAAUCGCAGACCUCUCAAAAUCUCAUCUCAUCCUGAUUAUCCUCCUGAUUGUCUUGCUCAAUUAACAUUUUAAUUCUGUUUAACGUAUUUAAUAAUAUUUAAUCUAAAUUGUCCAUUAACAACUCAAUUAACAUUAAAAUACCACAUCUCCGAUACAAUGAUUCAUUCUCAGCCUAAUAGUUGCAUCAAAGCAAUAGAAAUUAGGAGAUCCAAAAGAUACAAGUUCCAACGCUAACCACUAAAUGAAAUCAAUACCUAUAUGAUGAUGGCUGAUUAUGGUAUAUAUGGUUAUGGCCAAUUUUAAACCAGUUCAUUUUUGUAGUCCAUGUCGUAGCCAAACAAGCCUGAUUUUUGCACCUUCCAAACAAUGCACUGAGUUCUAAUUAACCCUCUCCUUGAUGUAAAACAUGAGCUCCCUAAUCAUCGUCUCCGGAUUUACAAUGAAUUGUAAGAUCUACUGCGUCGAGAUUAUUGUAAACUGUAAAAUUAGUGAGACGUUGAGGCAUGACAUAAACGUCAACGUCUUCUCCAGGGGAUUUAAUGAUCUCGUAGAAUUGGCAGUGACACAAGGUAGCUCCUGCCGCAAUGCAAAAAUAAUAAAAAUUUGUUAAUCAGACUCUUGUUUUCGGGUUUAUUUUGUUGAAAUUAUUUAAAUUCCUUGCUCUUAUAGUUCUACUUAUAUACAAAAAGGCUUCGAGUACUUUUUAUGAAACAAAUUACGAACGGAUUUUUUGGAUUUGGAAACACAAAUGUUGAGGGAAAUUUGAAUUAUUUCUUGAAUAAUUGUACUAAUUAAUUGAUUAUUGGUAUCUUUGUACUGAAGUUCUUUUCCAUCCCAUAGUCAAAUCAGAGCAAUAGGGGCCCAACUAGGAGUGGUAAUAUUUCCUAUUGUGAUGGGAUCCUAAGAGAUCCCGUCCCAUUUGAGAUUAAACAUAUUUUUACAUCUUAAAUUAAAGUUUGAUGGAAUAAGGAUAAAAAAUAAGUCUUGUAAUUAUUUGUGGGAUGGGAGGAGGACCAAUUAUAAAAUUUCGUCCCGUCCUUUAUAUCCCAUUAAUAAUAUAAUUUUAAAAUUAUUCUAAAUUUUUAAUUAUUUUAUAAUUUUAACUUAAUAACAUUCAAAGUUGAAAUCCAUUAAAUUGGUUACUGUUUAAAUCUAUAACUUUUGAAGCGUAAGUCUUAAUAUCAAGUGCGAUAGAAGCAAACAUGCAAGUAAAAAAUGUUAGAUAAAAAUUAUAUUCAAACAUGCAUGUAGUCAAAAUAAAACUGUUAUUUGAUUAUUCUACUUUGUAUUUAUUCAAAAAUUUUGCUAUAUUAAAUUAUGAUGGUCCUUAAAAGAAAAAAAAAUCAAAAUUUAUUUAUUUACAUUCAUGACUAGUCAGGAUAAUGAGAUGAGACAAGAUAUUUAACGAGACCAGAUUAUGAUAAAUUUUUAUUCCAAAAAAUAGGAUGGAAUUGGAUAUUCUUUUAUAACAAUUGGAUAUUCUUUUAUCACAGUUGCAUAUAUGGGACAUGAUUAAGAUUGGCAAUGUUGGAGAAUCAACAAAUUAAACACUCAAAAAACACACUAUUUUAUUUUUUCAACUACACUCCUCACUAAUUACAACUUUUAUUUUUCACUCUCUACACCUUAGAGAUUUUGUUACUUCACUUGAUGCAUAACCAAAUGACACAAGGGGUAUUUAUAGUAAAUGAGAAGAAAUCUAAACCAUUCAAAUAAGAAAUUAUAAAAAAUUAAUAACCAUUCAUCUUCACCUACCAAACCCACCACACCUAACACAAAUAAUUCAAAUCUCACCAACCAUACCUACUCAUGGAACCUUCCAUGAGUUGGGCUUGAAUUUAUUCAUCUUGGAUCAAAUUUAUGAUCCAACACCCCCCUUAAACUUGAUCCUGUGACACCAAGCAAACUUCUGAAUUUUACGAAGUCUUCUUGCUUGAGCGACUUGGUGAAGAUAUCAACUGCUUGAUCUUGUGAUUUUACGUACUUGAUUUGGACUUCUUUUCUUGCAAUACACUCUCUUAUGAAAUGAUAGCGAGUAUCUAUGUGUUUGCUUCGAUCAUGAAAGACUGGAUUCUUAGAUAGGGCAAUUGUUGAUUUGUUAUCAAUACAAAUCUCGCUUGGCUCUUCUUGUGGCAAACUCAACUCCUUCAGCAAAUUUAUGAGCCACAUUACAUGACAAACACUUGAUGUGGCAGCUACAUACUCAGCUUCGCAGGUGGAUAGCGUGACAAUUAGUUGCUUCUUUGACAUCCAUGUGAAAGCAAUAUCUCCCAUUAAGAAUACAAAUCCUAUGGUGCUCUUUCGAUCAUCUACAUCUCCACCCCAAUUGCUAUCGCUAUAUCCAACAAGCUUGUAGUCAUUAGAAAAUGAGUAUAACAAGCCGAAAUUAAUUGUAUCUUUGAUGUAGCAAAGUAUUCUUUUUGCAGCUUUAAAAUGAGUGGUCUUUGGAUUCUCCAUGUAUCGACUUACAAGUCCAACAGCAUAAAGGAUAUAUGAUCUUGUGCAUGUCAAAUAACAUAGGCUUCCGACCAAACUUUUAAUGAAUGUUGGAUCUAUAUCUUCGCCUUCAUCAUGUUUGGAUAACUUGACUCCGCAUUCCACUGGCGUGCUUAUAGGCUUGCAAUCAUUCAUCUUGAACCUUUUGAGAAUCUCCUUUGCAUAGCUUUAUUGGGAGAUAAAUAUACCUUCUUUCUUUUGCUUGACUUCAAUACCGAGGUAAUAUGCCAUCAGUCCGAUGUUAGUCAUCUCGAACUCUUUGAUCAUCACUCUCUUGAACUCUUCAAAUAAGCUUGGAUCACUUCCAGUGAAAAUGAGAUCAUCCACAUACAAGCACACAAUCAAAAUGUCUCCAUCUUUUUCUUUGACGUAGAGAGCAUGUUCAUAUGGGCAUUUGGUGAAGCCAUUCUCUUGAAAAUACUUGUCAAUUCUACUAUUCCAUGCCUUUGGUGCUUGUUUUAACCCAUAAAGAGCUUUCUUCAAUCUCAAAACUUUGUCUUCAUGUCCUUUCACCGAAUAGCCUAAUGGUUGUUCGAUGCAAACUUCUUCAUCAAGGAAUCCAUUCAAGAAAGCAAGCUUCACAUCCCUUUGAAAAAUCUUUAAUUUGUUCUGAGCAGCCAAAGAAAUAAUAAAUCUAAUAGUUUCAAGUCAAGCUACAGGAGCAAAUACCUCGUCGUAGUCUAUACCAGCUUUUUGACUAUAGCCUUUUGCAACUAGCCUCGCCUUGUGCCUUUCAAUUUCUCCCUUCGCAUUUCUUUUCGUUUUGUACACGCAUUUGACACUGAUUGCCUUGUGACCUUUGGGAAGAGUAGUAAGCUUUAAUUUCUUCAUCCAUUGCAAUUCUCCAUUUCUCAUCUAGUGCAGUUUCUUGGAAGUUGACUGGCUUAUAAUCAGCAUAGAGACAAAAGAGAAUAAGAUUAUCAUGUCUCUCAGUUACCUCAUAGAGAUCUCGAAGACUCCUUAUAUGUUCUUCAAUUCUUUCAUUUAAGAAAGAUGGUGGUGAAUCUCCAUAUGUGGUUGAUGCUGGUGAGAUAGGUGGAGUAGCUGGCUCUUAUUGUUCUUCUAUUUUUUUUUAUCUGAGUAUGAUCAUCUUCUUUAAUGGGAAAGAAGUUGAAGUCAUCUACACUCGAGCCAAAAUAUCAUUUUCCUUCUUUAUCAAAAACUACAAAUCGACUGAUCACGAUCUUCCCGUUGUUUGGAUUGUAAAGCUUGUAUCCUUUGGAGUUGUUGUCAUAACCGAUGAAGAUGAACUUCUCACUUUUGUCAUCCAGCUUGGCUCUACUUUUGUCUAGUACAUGUACAUGGGCAAUGAUUCCGAAAACUCUUAGAUGGGUGAUGCCGGGCUUUCUUCCACUCCAAGCUUGUUGUGGCGUCUUGCCCCACACAUUUAUUGUUCGAGAUCGAUUGGAUAAGUAGACUGCACAUGCAACAGUUUCAGCCCAAAAUUUUUUAGGUAGUCUCUUACUCUUGAGCAUGCUUCUUGCCAUAUUGAGGAUGGUUCUGUUCUUUCUUUCUUCAACACCAUUUUGUUGGGGGGAUCUUGGAACUGUCAAAGGACGUCGAAUUCCAUUUGCUUCAAAAAACUCUAUGAAUUCAUUGGAAGUGAACUCUCCACCUCGAUAAGAUCUCAUGGCUUUAAUAUGGUAUCCACUUUCUUUUUCCACUGCAGCUUUAUACUUCUUGAAAGCUUUAAAGACUUCUGAUUUAUGCUUCAAAAAAUACACCCAAAUUUUUCUUGAAAAAUCAUCUAUAAAGAGAAGGAAGUAGUUACUUUUACCAAGGGAGCUUGGCUUGAAUGGACCACACACAUUAAUAUGAAUGAGCUCGAGUGGCUUCUAAGCUCUUGAGUUUGACAUUUUUGGAAAGCUCUUUCUGAACUGCUUGCCAAGUAAACAUCCUUUACAAAGUUUAUCAGAGUGAUUGAUGUAUGGUAAGCCUUUCACUAUGUUCUUCUUGGAUAGUAACUCCAGUCCUCCUAAGUUGAGAUGCCUAUAUUGAAGAUGCCAAGUCUAAGAUGGAUCUUUGUAACAGGCUUUGAGACAUUUUGCAACAUCAUUUUGAAUAUUUAAAGGAAACAUUCUAUUCUUCGACAUUUUCACAUUUGUAAUUAUAUUUAUUUUGUCAUCUCUUAGGAAAAGACUACAAUCUUUUAAAUGAAUAUCAUUGCCUUUUUCCAAGAGUUGACCGAAACUAAGGAUGUUGCUUUUCAUAUUGAACACAUAGUAAACAUUUGAAAUUAUUUGGUGGCUACCAUCUUUUGCAUGAAAAAUAUUGUUACCUCUACCCUUCACUGCUACUUUUGAAUCAUCUCCAAAAGCGACACUGCCAUUCACAGAUUCAUUUAGUUCCAUAAACAUGCUUCUGUUUCCGUUCAUAUGAUUGCUAGCACCUGUGUCAAGAUACCAUGUAUUUUCUUGACCUCCACUUGUGUCAUUGCGUGAUAGUAAAAGGGUGCAAUCUUUACCAUUUUUCUCUUCAACAAAAUUCACUCUCUCAUCAAUUCUGGUACUUAGAGCUUUACAUUCUGAAGCAUAUUGCCCAAACUUUUGACAAUUAUAGCAUUGUACUUGGGAUUUUUCAUACCUCGAUCUUGGAUUGCCUCUACCUCGUCUUCUGGUUGAGCUUUCUCCUUUGGCAUAAUUGGAGUUGUUGUUGUUGAAAUUCCAACCUCGUCCGUGACCGCGACCUUUACCUCAUCCUCGACCUCUACCUCGAGCAUAAUGUCUUCUCUCGUUGUCGGAGCUUUCUUCUCUUUUCUUUGGAUUGACUUCCAUCUUGAGAAGUUGUUCUUUGAUUCCUUACUUCUUUUUUAGUUUUUCUUCAUUGGCUUGCAACUUUCCUUGAAGUUGCUCGGUCGUCAUAUCCUCGAAAUCUUUUGUUUCCUCAAUUGUCACAAUAAUAUGGUCAAACUUCGAGUCUAUUGAUUGAAGUAUCUUUUCAAUGAUCCUUACCUCUUUUAAAUGCUCACCAUUUCUUUUUAAUUCAUUGGAAAUAGUCACAACCUGAGUAAAGUAGUCAAAAAUUGACUCCGAUGCCUUCAUGUGUAAUGACUCAAAUUCUCCAUGUAAUGUUUGGAGACGAACCUUCUUAACUUGCUCUGCUCCUUAGUAAGAGGUCUCUAGUUUCUCCCAUGCUUCUUUUAAGGAGGUUGUACCAGCAAUCUUUUCAAAAGCAUCUUCAUCUAAUGAUUGAAAAAUGAGAUACUUUGCUUUAUUAUAUUUUUUCUUCAAGUCUUUUAAAUUCUACUUCUGCACCACAGUUAAAGUGACUUCAUUUUCUGGCACAAUAAAGUCUUUCUACACGACAUCCCAUAUGUCAUGUGCACCCAAUAGAGCCUUCAUUUUAAUACGCUAGUUGUCAAACUUCCCUUUAACUGUGGAACUUGAAAUGACAUCAUACCACCAUUUGCCAUAACUCACAAAUUGAGUGAGGAUUUUGAGAUUCUGAAUGUAUGGAUGGAUCCGGCACGUUGAAAAACCUUGGGAGGGACUUGAGUCAACUUUUGCUCAACGGUCAACGGCGGUCAACGGUCAACGUCGGCUUAGUUGACUUGGUUCUGUCCUGUUUGGUUCGGCUCGAGUUGGUUCGGUUUGACUUGAUUCGGUUCAGCUCGGCUCAGCUUGGUUCGGUGAGUCGACUCAGCUUCAGGAAAGAAAACUUCUGGCGGCGAGUGCGGGAGCGUUCAGUCUCUGAUCGGAAUGAUUUUUGCAGCGUCGUGUUCCUCUCAUCGAGAUCUUCGAUUUGAUAUGUUAUAUGGCUAUAUAUAACAUCAAACACUAGCUCUGAUACCACUUUGUUGGAGAAUAAAAAAAUUAAACACUAAAAAAAACACAUUAUUUUAUUUCUUCAACAACACUCCUCGCUAAUUACAAUUCUUAUUUUUCACUAUCUACACCUUAGAGAUUAUGUUACUUCACUUGAUGCAUAACCAAAUGACACAAGGGGUAUUUAUAGUACAUGAGAAGAAGUCUAAACUAUUCAAAUAAGAAAUUACAAAAAAUUAAUAACCAUUCAUUUUCACCUACCAAACCUACCACACCUAACACAAAUAAUUCAAACUUCAUCAACCAUACCUACUCAUGGAACCUUCAAUGAGUUGGGCUUGAAUUUAUUCAUCUUGGAUCAAGUUUAUGAUCCAACAGGCAAAUCCCAUCCCACUACCAACCCUUAAGCCUAACGCCGCUGUUCAGUUGUCAUCGUCAUUGAUGAAAUUGAUAAGACAAGUGAUAGAUGCUUUGUUGAUGAAGAAGGUGUCGAGAGCUGAGCAUUUGAAGACAAACUGUUAUCCGCACACAUUGCAUAGUAUACACAGUACACAGUUCACUGGAGGCUGCUUUGGGAGUUAAAUCUAGGGCAAGGUGAUCUUACUAUUGGUUACCUACUAUAGCUUGCUUGGAGAGCACAACACUUGUACAAACAUGUCAACUCUUAAAACUUUUAAGUGGUUUUUGGGGGACUAUUGGUUCCUCUUCCUCGUAAAAGUUAUUUUUGCUCCUUAGGUUUCUUAUAAAUUGUUAAUAAUCAAUUCAUCUGUGAUGCUAUAACAAUUACAGAAAAAUACACCAUUAAAGGAUACAUAUGACUUUCAACAAAUAAAUUAAUUACUUUUAAUUUGUACUAAACAUUUUAUUUAUAAAACUUUCACACUUACCAUUCAACAAUGUAUUUUCUCUUACUAAUUUUUAAACCAAAGAUGAAAUAAGGUAUUCAAAAUUUAAUAGGAACCUAAAUACCAAAAAUAAUCUCUAAGAAGAAUGAAGUGACAUCAUCCUUUUUUUCUCUUUUUUUAAAUCUCUCUCUGUAUGAUUAAUUAAUUUCCAAUAAAAAAUAGCCACUAAGAUCCUAAAUUUUGUUUAAAUAAUUAUACAGAUCCCUUUGAUUUCAUAAAUAAUCAUACAAUAACCCUUAAACUAUAUUUCAAACUUUUAAAUUAAUAUUUGUGAAAGUCUUGGUAGACUGCAUAGGUGUACCAUGUCAUCAGUAUACUUAUCCCACCAAAGCUUUAUCAUUAUUAUUGACGAGUAAGGGUAUUUACAUUGUAACAAAAGAAAUUUCCCCAAAAAGUUUAAUUGAAAUUAUCUCCUCCAAUAUUCAUGAUCACCGUUAUAUAGACAUACAUACACAUAAAAUUUUGCUGGGGUCCGUUGUCCAUAUCUUAUAAAAUGUGAAUUCAAACUAUGAUUAGUUUUCUACCAUGCCAUGAACCACAAUAGAAAACUGAUCGGGACCUAAGCAUAUAUGAAGGCGAUGGAUGGUGAAAAUUGAAUUGAUAGGAAAAAAUGAAGACGAGGAUGGAACAAUUGAUAAAAUUAAUAUCGGGCUGCACAAAUUAGACCACUACGCAUAUAUAGAGAUCUUUGUUAGAAUGUAAAUUCAUUUCUUGGCUUUAAUUUGACCAUCUAAACACAAAAUCUAGCUGAACCAAAUCAUUAUGGCCAAACACACCAUCUCUAUUCACAUGCCAAUAACAAUUAAUAUUAUUGAUAUCUUUUUAAAUCUUACUGGCGUUAUAAAAUUCAAAAAUCAAACUCCUAUCUCUCCAACUCACUCAACAGAAGAAUAGGGUAGUCUUCCUAAAAUAUACCCUUGUUUUAAUUAGAUUUUAAGAUAAAAGAAAAAGGAAACAAAAAAUCUAGCCAAACACAAUGAAUUUGUAUUAAGGUGACAGGAUGCCUUAUGUAGUCAAGAUAUGUUACUUGUUAUGCCCUUGAGUAAAGCUUGAGAAAGGAUGGAGGAAGAGAUGACGUAGUGAGAGGUUAAAAACAAAAGAGAGUUGGAUUGGAGGUUGUAUUUGUCCUGCAAAAUGGAGAGAAGAGGUCAGAGGCAGAGUCGGUGAUGGCUACAACAACACUCUUGACACUCAAAUUAGUUUUGGUGCUACUUUUUAAGGUUGAGAGCGUCCAAGCUCUCUAUAAUAAUGGCUGGAGGUUGAAGAAACCUCAGCCUUAUCGUGUGUGUAUUUUUGUGAUAAGUAAGAAAAACAGAACUUCAGCACCCUUAUUGACGAGUGCAUUAGGGUGCUUAGUCAUCUUCCCACUUAGCGUAAUUUUUUGGUUUGCUCAAAGGAUAUUCUUAUCUUUCGGCUUUUGUAACCGUUGGAGCAUUUAAAGCAUGCUUGGAGAGCAAGUUGGUGCAUCAUUUGUACAGUUUGUCCACACUUACACAUGUUGGACUUUUUUACAGCCAUGGCAUAGUGCUGCUUCCACUUUUCCAACAUAAUACUCUUUAUAAAUUCCCUAAAAUCAAAGGAACCAGUAUCUUUUUCAGGUAAUAAUGGCACCUCACGUACAUGAAGUUUUGGGCAGUUUGUCUGAUCGUUUUGCCUUCGAUAUGAGGAAGUCUGCAUACCACCCUAAUUUAUUAAGGUACCCAGCAUAGGUCAACUUCUCUUUGGUGACUUUUCAAAAUUUUAUACUAACACGUGGUGUUUUAUCAUUGAUUUUCUCAUUUCUUCCCUAAACAAAUCCCUUUUAAUUUCUAUAUGGAGACAAUAUUUGAGGCAUAAGAAACUCUUUGAAGAAUUUUGAAUGACACAUGGCGGUAUUCAUCAUUUCUACAUUGAUGGCUAGUUAGGAAGAGGUACUUUGGUUACCCCUUUUCUGGGUUGGCUACGCAGGUUUCCAUGAUAGACUUACUCAUUUUUUCUCCUUUUUUUUUAGAUUCUUAUAUAUAGAUUUGUUCUUCACCUAGGCUCUUUGUAACCUUUUAGGUGACACAUGGAUAAAGGUAAAAACACUCGUUCGAGAGGUAGGGAAAAGAGCUAAAUGGUUUUAAUGAGAGGAUUCAAGCUUUGACGAAGGGAAAAUGAUGUAUUAAAUGUGGACAAAUUAGAGAAAGCUAGGCUAAUUGGUGAAAGCUCCAUAUCUACUUUUUAUGAUAGGCUAUGCAUGGUUAAAGAGUGGCUCUUGAAAUACAAGUAUGCAACCUAAGAGGGGGGGUGAAUUGGGAUUCUAAAAAUUAUUUGAUUCUAAGACAAAUUAUCAUGCAAAUCUAGAAUGAAUUUAAAGCAAUAACAAUUAAGUUGAUCACAAUAUAAAAAGAUAAGGGAAGAGAAAUUCAAACACAGAGAUUUUUAUGUGGUUCGCCCAACCUCGCCUACGUCCACGCCUCCAAGCUUUCCGGGCUUGAGGAUUCCACUAAGCAAGCCUCCAAGGCUUCAAAUGCUUACAAUUGACUUCCAAGGUGUCAAUAACCUUUACAACAAGAGAUUAUCCCAAUCUCUUUAACCCAAGUGUAUCCCAACACUUACAAUCACUCAAAACAAAAGAUUUCAAAUUUGUUUUGCCUCUCACAAUAUAUAAGAUUACACAAUGAUGCCCAAUAUGUGAACAAAUGAAGCAAGAAUGUGUUCUAAGCUCUAUGAAGAUUGUAUUCUCGAAUAUAAGCUCAAUAGUCGUGUUGUGAUCAAUCUUCUUUGAAUUUGAAUGAGCUUAUUUAUAUUUGGAGUUGAAAAACUAGCCGUUACAAAUUGUCGGCCCGAAAACGGUUCGCCGUUAACCAUUAACAGUUAACCGUUUAGGCUGGUCAAAAGUUACCGUUGGACCAAAUUUCAAAUAAACGGUUUGCCGUUUCGGAUUACCCUUUCGCCGUUAAAUUCCAGAGACCUGCAAGAUGAACAUCAGUUAUCUGUUUACAUUAAACGGUUAGGGAUUUGCAUGAAGUGACUUCUCUGGAUAUUAUCGGUUAACCGUUUGUAAUAAACGGUUCGCCGUUUGUUUCCAGUAACCUGCAAAAUAAUUUAGCCUUAUCCGGUUUUGUUAAACAGUGCCAGAGGAGUACAACCUUCAAUUCUGGAUGUUAUUGGUUAACCGUUUCAAUAAACGGUUCACCGUUUCAAUAAACGGUUCACCGUUAAAUUCCAAUAGCCUUUCCAUCUUUUAUGUUUUCCGUUUUUCAUAAACGGUUAGAGCUUAGGCAAUAUGUUGCUCUCUGGUAUUAAUCGGUUAACCGUUUAAAAGAAACUGGUUCACCGUUUAUUUCUAGAAUCACAUUUUAAACCAGAUUUUACCGAGAAUCUUUUUCUAAUUUAAAAGUCUAUCUUUUAUGAAUAUGAAUGGAAUGAUUAUUAAGGCUUUCGUUUAUUAAGGAAUAGCUCCAACAUUUUUAUCAAAAACCAUUUAAAGUUUGUUAUCAUCAAAAUUAAUAUUAUUAACAUAUUCAUGUCAACAGCCCUAGGAUACCCCUACUCUCUUACGUUUUGUUUUUAUUUUCUGCAUUUCAUAACCCUAUUUUUUCUUUUUCCUCAUAGAGUCUCGUAUUUAUGUAACUGACAUUUUUCUUUUGCGCAUGGCAGUUGGUAAGUACAAAACCCUUUUUAGAUGACUUUGUUCAAGAUAGUUGAAUGAUCAAAUUCUCUCGAUGGGAUGACUGUUUGUUCAAGAUAGCAAUUCCUAUAGCACUGGGCAAAAUUACCUUGCGUCCUCGGUUGUCGCUUGUUAAACUUCUCAUAUCCUUAUGCAACCUAACAAUGACCAGUUGUUAUAUCACAUAAGAUAUGACUUUACAAACAUAUACUCUUUCUACCCUACAAGGUGAAUCCCUAUAUCUAGUUCAUCAUAAAUCUUAACUCAAGUGUAAUCCUUUUGAGACUCAAGUUAAAUUCAAUCCAGGAAGCUUGACUGAAGAUCAAGUAUUACUCUAAUAAUUUCCACUAAGACAGACCUUUUUGUGGCUCUCUCUUAACUUGAAUCAUUAAAUGAGAGGUCAACCGAAAUAAUGAUUGUAAUAAAAGCUAUUAAAAAAAAAUGCUACAACAAUCUUGCAACAACUCAUAAAAACAGUCAAGAACCCAUCUAGAUUGUUUGUCACUCAACUACAAUCAAAUUUAGUUCAUAACUUGAAAAAGAAAAACAAACAGCAAAGUAUCAGCCAUGAAAUACAUUAUUUCAAUCAAUGAAUAAGUAAGGGGACAAGUAAAGAAUGAUGAAAAUUGAAUCCAAAUAGUUCUAUAGAUUUUUUCAAUGGUGCAGACUUGUUCUCUCUUGAAUUCUGCUUCUUCCUUCUUUUUCUCUUGAUUUUUUCGGUGUUAAUUCACGACCACUUUUUCCAUAUGAUGCGUGCUCUUUUUAUAACUAAAACUUAGGGUAAAUGGAAGCCUAGGGCGCGCAUAAGUCAGAUUAGGAAACUGCAGAUCGUAAUUCUACAAAUAUCUCGCACAAAAUUUUCUCUAUCGUUGUUCCAGGAUUGCUACAGCAAUGGAUACAACAAUUGUACUGUUCCAGAUUUGUUUCAAUUCUUUUGUAGCCAUUUUCUUUCUUUAUUUUUGCAAGCCUAUUCCAUCAGCAUUUCUUCCUUGAAAUUUGAGCUUCCUGAAACCUACAAUUAUGCACACAAUUUAAGCACAAAUUACUCUAAAUCAAACAAAAUUUAUUAAGAAUAACUUAAAAUGAAUGUUUAUGCAAAAUAUAACAAAAAUGCAAUGAAAACACAUCAUUUACUCUCUAAGUAAUAUUGAUUCAAGUCUAAAAGUGUCAUGAUAACUCUCAUUUCAUAGAGUUAUCGGUCACAUAGCUCCUCUAUUGGUGGUUCCCGAGAUUCCUCAGGUAUCUAGAUUGGGAUCCUUUUUCUCUCUGCCUAGGGAUUUUGUUGAAGGGAAACUUGACUUAGUGGUGAACGAGAAAGUCUUUCACUUUGCUGGAUAUGUUCAUUAUAACCACCAAAAGCAUCACCCUAAAAUUGGUUGUCAAUUCGUAUAGUUAAGCUUGACCGAGCUCUAUAAGCAAUCUUUUACCUAUAUUUACUAUGAUAUAUCUAACUAUUUGCAAACGACAUUUAAUCUGAAUCACUGAUUCUAAGGCCUCAAUAUUACCUCCACCACUCAGUCUAAGGUAGCAAAGCUAAAAGAUGAACUCUAAAGUCGUAAGUCCUGUAAAAAUAAGCUUACUCAAGAAAUCAAAGCUUUGAAAAGGUGCCUAGAUGAUCUGACCAAGGAGAAGGCCCAUGUAGCCAAAUAUAAUGCGAAGUUACGGGCUGGAUAAUGACUGAAGUUUGGAGUAUGGAGUCGGGGCUGUUGGUACCCAUGGUGGAGAAAUGGGCAGAAAAAUAGUCCAUAAAGUUCAUAAUGUACUCAACCUGCCACAACCAAAGCUCCCAUUAGAUGUUCUUGCCACUGAAUAUCAUAACUCUGCAACUUUCAUCGAUCCCAUUUUCAGAGGGAUAACAGAAAAGAUGAGCUUCCUACUGUAUGACUUUAUUUGGCGUUAUUGCUUGUUUGUUGGUAUUUUUCCUUAAUUCUGUACUUGAAACUAUUUUCUUGAUUUCUUGCUACACCCCCUUCUAUUAGGGUACCCGAACUGCUUGAAUGUUGUAUUCCUUAAAUGUUGUACUCACAAACUCUUUUAUUUUGUGAUUGUUUGUAAUGAUAUUUUUAUUUUCCAUAGCUUUAGAUGCUACCACUUGGCUGGGCAGCCUUUUUUAAGAUCUUUUUGUGUUUCUUUGAUGCAUUCUAAAAUCUAAUUUCGGGCAUAGGGUACCUCAGGUACCCUUUAGCUUGGAUUAGGGGUGGGCAUCGGUUCAAUUCAGUUCGAUUUUGGGAUAAACUUCAUUCGGUUAUUAAGGAAAAUAAAUUUCGAAUCGAAACGGAUAAUUCAGUUCGGUUCAGUAUUAGGUUUUAAGUUCAUUUUUGGUUUUUCGGUAAUGGUUCGCUUAACAGAUCGGAUUAACAAACCAGUUUUUCGGUUCACCUAACUUGCACACAAGGCCUACAAUAAUCAAUGUAUAAUCAAUGUAUAAUCAAUGAAAAUAAAAUAAUUUACAAAAUUGUAUUAAAAAAAAAUUGCAAAGAUUUUGGACUAAAAUAAAGAAUUUUUAGAAUCAUCAUCAUUGUUUUUAAUAUCAAAACUUUCGGGGUCAAGACAUAAAUAAAAUAAAAUAAGUUUCUGCACCAAAAUAUAAUUUACCUAAAAAAUAGGGAUUCAAAUGAUAUUUUGUGCUCUUGACUUUCGGUCAAGGACCCUUUUGAAAAAUUUACAAAAAUAUUAGGAUAUAACAGAAUUUCUAUAUGCAAACAUUUCCUAAAAACUAUGUCAUACUACAAUUUUAUGAAGGACAGGGAUGCAAAUGAUAUUAUUGGUUUGGUUUGGGUUUUUUAAACUUUUGAUCCGAAAACUAAACUGAACCGAGUGGUUCGGUUUGCUAUUUCUAUAUUCAGUUUUUUAACUUUAAAAAAAUCGUACCGAAACUGAAAAAAUGAACCAAAUUGGAUCUUUUUCUAUUUCGCUUCGGUUUUGCCCACCCCCAACUUAGAUAUUCAUUAAGCUAUCUCUUUCUUUAUGGUAGAGCAGUUUAGUUUCAUUUUAUAUAUGGCGAUUUAUCUAGAUGUGUAUCCUACUUUUCUUUAGGAAAUUAUAGCGAAUCUCUACACACAAUCAAUAAUAAAAGUAUAGUCAUGACGAUUUGGUUAGGCGUGAAAAUUCAUAAUUGGCGUAAUAACAAUGACAAAUAGAUUUAUUUCAACUCUCCUAAAGCAUUCUUAGCCCUUUUCUUCAUAAAGUGAUCAAAAACCUCAUGAUUUGCUAUUUUGCUUUAAAUCAAAUUAGCACGAUAAAUAGUAACAAAGGCCGCUAGUCACUUUUUUUUUUCUUUUCAAAAUGGACAAAAGCCUCAUGAUUCACCAUUUGCUUUGAACGAAUUAUCAACAUCAAUAGUAACAAAGGCAGCUGCUCGCCUAACGUUUUUUGAAAAAUAGACAAAUUUCGUGAUCCACAAUUUGCUUUGUAUCAAAUAAGCAAAAAAGCUAGUGACAAAGAUGGCUGCGAGCCUACCCUUUCUUUUUUUGGGGGGGGGGGGUGAUGGACAAAAUUCACAUGAAUUUCCAUUUGCAUUAAAUCAAAUAAGCAAAACAGAUGGUAACAAAUGCGGCUGCUUGCCUGCCCUUGAAAGUACUUGGGGCAUUUAACUCAUGUGCCCUUUACUUGUAAAUUGUUUGUCCCUCACUUUAGCUUAAGUAAAAGAAUGGAGGUGUGGGCACGUGCAAGCCUUAACAAAUCCUCAUGAUGCUAGAGUACGACUAUGUAUUUUUUCCUUUUUUUUUUUUACCUUCCCUCUCUUUGUUCAAAUAAGUGCAUUUUCAUAAUUGUUCUCAAAAGCUACCACUGAUUUCUUUAUAUUCUUUAUGCUAGGUUUGACUUUAAGCAGAUAUUCAUGAUUAGGAUAAGUUAGGUACCCCAAUUUAUACUGGAUCAAAGCGAUCUCUUGAUACUAUGUUGUGUCAUAAUAAACAUUGCAUAACAAUAGACAUGCAAUUAGUUUAAUGGCGAACAUAUUAUUUUUUAAUAGCAUUUAAAAUUAAUCAUUCAUAUUAUGAAAUCGAAAGAUGAAUAAAAGAGCACACAUCAUUGCAUUUUAAAGAGGAAAUGUAUUCAUAGGUAAUAGAGACAUAGAUCAUUACAUGAUAUUAUUUUACUAUCUUGAGUAAAAUGGAGAAUCCUAGGAUCUCCCACUCUUGUCAUUAAAGACUUAAGGAAUUAAUAAGUGCAAUUGACUUGUUUAGGGUGCCCUGGGUACCCCACUUGGCAAACCAUGUAUUACAAACAUGUAAGCAUUGAAGAAAACAAAUGAAAUAAACAAUAGAAGGUAAAGUGUUAUUCCUUUACUAGCAGUAUAACUUCUCUUUCCCACGACCGAUGAUAAUUACUUCUACACCAUUUCCAUAUGAAUUAAAAAAGCCAUCAAUGCAAAUUUCAUAAACUUGUUCUUCUUCUGCCGCAUAUGCUGCAUCACUUGGGUAUCCUAGGAUUCCUUGACCCCUAGAUUCAUUGGUGAAUUCAGCCUAGAAAUUGACAAUGGCUUGAGUUUUGAUAGUCGAGUAAGGCUUGUGGGUUUCAAGAGGGUGUCCUGGGUACCCAUAGUGCCUUAAAAUUUAUUGUCUUUAUUAUUGUUGGUGAAUCUCUAUGUACUUUUCUAAUUGGCAUGCUUACCAAAUCUAUCGAUAGGCAGCUCUCCGUUGGCUACCAGAUACUUGGUUGGUUAGGUGUACUGCUACCCCAUGUGGCAAUAACCUAUCCUUUGGGAGAUACACCUUUGACUAUGUGUUAAACUUAAUUUGAUAGCUCUCUUUAAAGGUGUUAGUAUAGUUUCCCUAAACUGGCCACUAGUCUUCUUUGAUUGUGAUAACAUCUUUGACGAUUGGAACUUUCAUGGCGAGGUAAUGUAUGGAUAUCACUGCUUUAGUUUUUAUUCAAAAUGGCAUGUCUAUGGUGAUAUUACAGGCAGCGGGGUGAUCCAUAAGGAGGAAGUCAAGCAUAUGGAUAAAACGAUUAGAUACCUCACCAAUUGUAACAAUUAAUGUAAUGAGGCUUUUCGGAAUGACAAUAAUUAACAACUAAUCCAAAGCGCUCUUGAAGAUAAUAUCCAUGAAGCUACUGGUGUCCACUAGCAUUCUUCUUACUUUGUCGGUAACAACCUUCAAUGUUAUAACGAACGCAUCUUCAUGAGGCUAGGAGAUACCCUCGGCAUCAUUUUCUGUAAACAGAAAUUAGAUAGGGCUAGUGAAAUUAACAUUGUUACUGAUGAUAGUCAUGGACAUCGACGUCCUGCCGUAAAACUUUAUGGCUCUCCUAGCUCGCUAGUGAAAGUAGGUCUGCUAGCUAUCAUUUGAACAUAAGCUCUUUGUUAGGAUCUAUGGGGUGCUCUAUGCUUAAGGCUAGAGUUGGUAAUGUGUUUGCCAUUUGUCUUGCUCUAUAGAAUUUCAAGCCUGCUUCAUAUCACCAACAAAAUCAAUGAGGUACCCGUGAGAAUUAGAGAUUCGAUUUCCUCGUAAGCUAAAGCACUCAAUGAUGCUAUGGCUGAAUGAAACUCACAAUAUUUUAGGCUACGCUUUAUGUUGGAGUAUUUCGGUAUAUACUUGGGUUUUGAUAACUCUAGGAAAUGAGAGUUAUCAAGGCACUUUUAGACUUAUUCGAUAUUAUUUAGAGAGUAAAUGUUGUGUUUCUAUUGCAUUUUUGUUAUAUUUCGCAUAAACAAUUAUUUUAGUUUGGUCAUAAUAAAUUUUGUUUGAUUUAGAAUAAUUCGUGCCUAGAUUGUGUGCAUAAUUGUAGGUGUUCGGAAGGUCAAGUUUCAAGGAAGGAAUGCUGAUGCAAUAGGCUUGCAAAAAUAAAGAAAGAAAAUGGCUACAAAAGAAUUGAAACAAAUCUGGAACAAUAUAAUUGUUGUAUCCAUUGCUAUAGCAAUCUGGAACAAUGACAGAGAAAAUUCCACGCGAGAUACUUGCAGAAUCGUGAUCUGCAGUUUCCUAAUCUGACUCAUACGCACUCUAGGCUUCCGUUUACCCUAAUUUUCAAUUAUAAAAAGAGCACGCAUUAUAAGAAUAAAGGGCAGUGAAUUAACAUCGAAGAAAUCAAGAGAAAAUAAGAAAUGAGUAGAAUUCAAGAGAGACAAGGCUGCACCAUUGAAGAAAUCUGCAGAACUAUUUGGAUUCAAUUUUCAUCAUUCUUUACUUCUCCUCUUACUUACUCUUUGAUUGAAACGAUGUAUUUUAUGGCUGAUACUUUGCUGUUUGUCCUUUUUUUAUAAGUUAUGAACUAAAUUUGAUUGUAGUUGAGUGACAAACGAUCUAAAUGGGUUCUUGAUUGUUCUAAUGAGUUGUUACAACAUUGCUGUAGCAUUUUGCUUUAAUAGCUUGUAUUACAAUCAUUAUUUCAGUUGACCUCCCAUUUAAUGGUUCAAGUUAAGAGAGAGCCACAAAAGGGACUGUCUUAGUGGAAAUUAUUAGAGUAAUACUUGAUCUUAAUUUAAGUUUCCUGGAUUGAGUUUAACUUGAGUCCCAAGAGGGCCACACUUCAAUUAAGAUUUGUGAUGACAUAGAUAUAGGGAUUCACCUUGUAGGGUAGAGAGAGUAUAUGUUCGUAAUGCCAUAUCUUAUGUAAUAUAACAACUGGUCAUUGUUAGGUUGCGUAAGGGUAUAAGAAGUUCAACAAGCGACAGCUGAGGAAGCAAAAUAAUUCUACCCAGUGCUAUAGAAGUUGUUGCAGUAACUAGUGUUAGAUUGAACAAAACAGUCAGCCCAUGAAGAGAGUUUGAUCAUUCAACUACCUUAUUCUUAUUGAAUUCUAUUUGCGCAAGCCAUUCAGUUUACUUCAUUAUUGCAGUUACUUUAUUAUGUUGUUAAUUUUAUUAGUCAAUCAACUUUAUUUAUAUUCCUUUUAGAUAGAAGGAAGUUUGCACUAUCGUAAUUGUUGUAGCAUUUCUAGUAACAACAGUCUCUAUGGAGACGAGCUUGAAUAUUCAUCACUUUAUUACUUGUUGUGUACACUUGCACGUUAACAUCAAUAACAAUCGAGUUAAAAUAACCAACAGGUUUCUGCCUAUUUUUUUAUGACCUCCACUUUGUCUUCUUGCCAUUUCAAAUGACAUUUCUCGUCUAUCUAAGUAUAAUGUAAAGCUCAAGAGCGGGCUUCCCAUAUGAAAGUUAGAAUUGCUCUUAAAAAGAAUGUCACCACUUACUUAAUCAUAAAUUCUUCUCAAAGUGAGUCAAGGUAUACCAGUGACCAAAUGCAUUGGUCUGUAGCACUUCUUGAUUGAAAAGGGUUGACAUAGUCAACUAAUGAUUCUAACUCGCCUUGGUUGAUGAAAGCAAGUUUAAAAGAUGUUCUAUCUUGAGAGAAAGCAUAAAAAAUCUUGUGAAUAAAUUCUUUUGAUAAUUAGUGUCACGAGGAUAUGUUGCCUGCGUCCAAAGAUUAGAACUAAGAUUUUGCAGGGUUGGUGAGGUAUAUGUAAAUGUCCUAUCCAUACUAUUCUUGUCAACAGUCUUGAUAAGCAUCUAAUCAUGCUAUAGGUUGGCAUGCUCAACUAGUUAUGUGGUACCUGAGUACUGGGGUACCUGAGGUGUGGUGAAUACUUUAGAGAGAAUAGCUGUAUGGAUAUCCAUGGUGAGUAGCAAGUUAUACACUACUAGUGUUGGAACAUUGGUGAUGUUUCACUUUUCGAAAAGAAGCUUCACCUAGGUUUCCAGAUAUUCCAUUUUUCUAAAAACUCGCGGGUACCCUAAGUGCAAAUAAGGAUGCCACUGUCGUUUAAGAAGCUCUUUUUGCAUUUAACUUGUGUUGGAGAUCUUUGCGAGCUUGUUUUGCAUGCCUGGUAUCCUAACUACUUCGCGAGUAACUAGAGGCUGUGUAACGUUCAUCCCUAGAUUUCGUGGGUUAAAACUUGGAUUGGGUUCCCAAUGGCUCAUUCCUUAGCUUGCUUCCUUCGAGUACCUUUAACCAAUGGAUAAGUUGUUUUUCAACUCUCAUUGGUGGCAUAUCUUGGAUUGUUGGUGAGACAGUCGGCUCAGGUACCCAAGAACCUAUUGCACAAAGAAUUGCAUGAGCUAGGUCUUCAAAGUGCUUAUAAGAGAUGGGUUCGUCAUCUUGGCUAAUACCAGCCGAUUGUUUAAUGGAUUUGCCUUUGUAAAGCCAGACUGUUUUCCUAGUUAAAUUACCUACACCAUUGCUGCUAUGGUCGCUCAGUCACUCCGGAUCUUCCAACAUGUUGUCAGAUGGUAUGUUGGUUGCCAUUUUAGGGUUGACACAACAACAAUGAGCUUAGUAUAUUAUGGAGGAAUUUUGUGCGCUCCCCAUGCAAAUGGCACCAAUUGUUUUGACUAGAUUUUAGAAUGACAGUAAAAGAAAACAAGAAACCUAGCUAAGUAUAAUAAAGUUUUAUUAAAUUGACAUGGUGCCUCGCAUAGCCGAGGUGUGUUACUUGUUAUGGUUUUCAGUGAAGCUUGAAGGAGGAUAGAAGAAAAGAGAACCUAGUGAAAGGCUAAUAUCUGGAGAGAUUGGCUUGAAGAUUGUGUUUAUCCUACAAAAUGAGGAAAAGAGUUCAAAUGUCCACUCCAGAAGUGUCCACUCCACUCACAUUUCGUGAGGGAGAGACUGCCUCCACUCAAUUAUUUGAUAAUUGAAGGAGGAUUGAAACUAGCCCCCAUAAUUCUUUUAUGGAGACUCAAACCCUUACUCUUAACAUUGUAAGUGCAAAGGCUCUCCCACUAGGCUAAAAGGCCAUUGGUAAGUGUGACAGUCUAUUUAAACUUGGGUAUAAUAUUUCUAACUUAUAUUUGAUAAAAAAAAAAUCUGUAAUUUUCUUUUAUAUUUUAAAAUUUAUUUAUGUAUUUUUAGGACAAUCCAUUGAACUUUGGGCCAACUCUAUACACGACAAAUACUUGCCAGAUGCACCAGUCUCCUAGGCCAGGCCUUCCUGAACCAUGCUUAGGCUGCCCGAACACAAACAUUAGUCCGAGAGUAAGGCAGGUCAGUACGUACGCCAGUCCAGCUCAUACAUGCGGCCAAUUGUAGGUCGUGCCGGAUAAGAGAAAAUUUAUGAAGUCGACCCCCAAAACUUUUUCAUUUUUUAAAAAUGACCACACUAAGACUUGUCGUACUUUUUUUCUUUUUUCUUUUUAUUACAUGAGACUAUUGCUCAGAUUACAACUCAUAUUACAUGAGACUAUAACUGAUAUUUACAAAUCAGACUAUUACUGGGACCAACUUACAUCAAUGCUAAUGGAGCUCUACCCAAAUUUUUAACCCUCACAAAUAUUCGAGGGAUGUCUACUCCUCACUCAUGGGUAAAGAGAAUACUACCUUCACUCAAUUAAUUGAGGAAGGAAAUACCCCCACAAUACUUUUGUGGGGGUUCGAACUGCUGCCCUCCAACUUGGAGGGCAGCAGCCCUGGCCACUCGGGCUGAGCCGAGUGGUUAGACUUGUCGUACUUUAAUGAUCAAGUGGAUGAUUUUCGAACAAAAGUAUCCCUAAAAUUUUAUAUUAUACUGUUAAACUCUUCUUCUUCCAUUAAUCCAUUCAAAAAAACUUAUUCAGGACUCUGACACCCCUCUCUCACUUGCAAGAAACACCAUUUUUAUCAACCAUUGAAGAAAAAUUAAGAAGUGAAGAUUUAGGAAGGUUAGUACCAUUUUUUUUUUCUGUUAUAAUGUGUUGUGUUAUUUUACAUUAAAAUUCAAUGUAGGUCUAUAGAACAAUUGGUUUGAAUUAAUAGGACUUGGUUUGCCAAAAAAAAGUCAGUAUUUUUGUGAAAGUGCUCAGAUGAACUUAGAAAUUCUGGACAACAGCGGGCGACAACUUGGCUGACAUGAUGGUGGCAGGGUGACUGACUUUUAUUUCCUAGCUAAUGAUAUUUAAUCUCUCAAAUUCUCUUACUAGCAGCCAUUAUUUAAUUAGUACUAUUUAUUUCAAAAUUACCCUUAUUAAAAGGUAAACAUGUCUUUUUUCUUCUUUUCACUCUCAUCUCAUUUGCACUCACUCUCUCACUUAGGCACCAACAAUACCAUCACCAACAAUACCAUCAUGGGAAUACAAGUAUUCCCAUGAUGUAUACAUCCUAUUGCAACAGCAAGCGACCCUAGGGCAAAAAAUUGCCACACCUCAUGAUGCAUGAUGAUUAAUGUUAAAAAUUGUAUGUUUAUUAAGGGGUAAAAAUGAUAUUUUGUACUUGUAAUAUAAUUUACAUUUGUAAUUAUGUAAUACAUUAUGAAUUUCUAAUUAUUUUUCUAAAUAUUUGAUUUUGUGUAUUUUUGUGUGUUUAUUAGGUAAAAAUAAUAAUUUCACGUAAUUUGAGGCUCCAAACAAAUGUACUGAUGUCAAAUUUGGAUUCCAAAAGUCUGAGAAAUUAGAUCAUUGUCGAGGAGGAUCCACGAUUUUUGUUAUAAAUUUAUAAGUUUUUACCAUGGUAAAUGUGGUAAUUGUGGAAUUAUAAGUUUUUACUAUGUUAGGUGUGGUAACUGUUAGUGAAAUGUAUUUAAUGUGCUUGGGUGGAUUAAGUUAGGUUUAUUUUUUGUUAGUGAAGCAAAUGUAUGGUUAAGAUGUAUUUAACUUUAUUUAUUUGUAUGGUGUGGAUUAAUCAUGUAUUAGUAUAAAUAAAGAGGGGGGAACACACCUCUUUGCGCCUUUUCUUCUCUUCUUUCCCCUCAAAUUCUUCUUCUCAUCUCUCUUUGUAAUAUAUUUUCAAUAAAUAAAAUUAAUUUUAUUUUCAAUUUUUAAAUACUUUUUUAAUUAUUUUUUUCUUAAUUUUAAUAAUUACUUUUAUUUCAAAUAUGUUUAGCUAAAUACUAAUAGUUAGGGGAAGGUAAAACUCUUAGUAAAAAAAAUGAUUUAAUCAAAUUUUAUUUUUAAUUAUAUAAAUUAAAUUAUUUUCUAUCUAAUUUUAUGCAUAUUUUAUAUUUUGAAAUUUUGAUUUAUUGUAGACAAGCAUAGGGUUUGGCGCAAUAAUUUCUUAAUAUCUUAGUAUAAAGUAUGGUAAAAUGGUAUUUUCACUUAGUGUAGACAAAUUAAAUUUUGGCACACUAAGUACUUAAUCUAUAAGAAAUUAUUGGGAAAAUAAUUGUAAUUUAUACAAUUAAUCAUUUAGGUAAUAAAAUAAAAAUAAAAAGAAUUUAUUAAAUUAUAUUUAUUACUAAGAGUCGAUCUAUAACUCCAACUAAUUUAAUUUCAUAGUUUUGCUUAAAUUAAGUUGCACAUUUUUAAAUUUUAUUUUCAUUUUUUUAAAAUAAACAAAUUAAAUCUUUUCUCUGUGGAUCGACCUCGAACUCACCGAGUUAUAAUAUAACUAAGCACUCUUAUAUUUGGAAAUAAAUUAAAUAUUUUUAAGUCAUGUCACAUGAUGCAGAGCAUAUCUGCUUUGCCGCAACGCGUCAUGCCAUGUCGCCAAGGAAGCCACAGCUCGCACGCCACAAAGGAAACUCAUUUUGGAAUUUUGGGCAAUACUUCAUUUCACUGUUUCCUUUGUACAAAUGUAAUCUUUUUUAAUAAUUAAUCAAUGUUAAUCUGUAUAAGUUGUUGUGAAGUAAUUGUUUAUCUCUUUUGCUACUUAAUAAAGAUUUUAAUAUUUCUUUAAAGAAUUUUGCAUGAUUAAAAAUUGAAAUGAAGCAAGAAGCUCUGAUUUGGUUAGUUUUAAUUUGAAAAUUUUCAGGAUGCUUUGUGAUAGUAAAUUCAAUUUUAUAGUUUUGCUUUAAGUUUUGAAUUUAAUUGAGAGAAAGAAAGUGAAUAUAAAAAGAAAAAUUCUUUGAAGUAAGGUGUUUCCAGAAAUAUACCGUCUCAAUUUAAAAAUGAGGUAAAUGAGGUAAAAUAAGAGGGUGAACUAUCGACAUUCUUAUUUCCUUUGUAAAUGAAAUUUAAAAGUAUAAAAUUUGACUUUUGUUUAAAGUUAUGUAAUCAUGCAUAUUGAAUAACCAAAAGGAUAGCAUGCACCCGUUUCAUUUAAGGUUUUUUUUUUCUUAUAAAAAAGCAUAAAGAACAAGAGAAAUAUGAAAAAUAAAUCCUUAUAAGAAAAUAUGAAAAUAAAUCAUUUAUGGGCCCAUCUAAGUAAACAAAUAAUAAAACAGUUUACCUUCCAAUACCUCUUUAAAAUUUAUAUAAAACGAGUAAUAAAAUUUGACCAUCUCAAUUUCAACCACCUCCCACCACCACCACUGUCAUUGCCUCACACCCCCACACUAGUAGUACUUCGUUGCCGAUUGACCUUACUAGUAAAUUCCUAGUUGCUGACCAAAAUCCUUGAUUAUUUCUUCACUGCAGGUAGACGCGAACCCAAUAAGAAUAUGCCCAGAAGUCAAGUUCUAUGAUUUUCAAAAUGAAUUGAAGUUGUCCAAGCCUUCUGCUGUCUAUCCCAUAAGCAAAAGUUAUUAGUUGUUUCUAGGACAAUUGCCUUGAUUUCUACUUAAUUAAUUAAAAGAAGUAAGAUCUUAAAUCAAUCUCAAAUCAAAUAUCUUUUGUCUGUCUUUCUUGUUUCUUUCAUUUUAACCAUAUUAUCUUGUACUAUUAAAAAAAAAAAAAUACCUUGUCUUGUAAAUGGACCUUUGAUUUGUAUCUUUGUAUCCAUUUUUGUGUAUGUGGAUUUAAAAAAUUAGAGCUAUUCCAAGUAAAUGCGGGGAAUUUGAUAGGCAGUUGCUGUAGAAUUUGCUCAAGAUUUUUUUAAUUAUAAUUUAUUUUUAAACAAGGGCAACCUUGGAAAGGAAUAAGAUUAACUGAAAAGUGAGGUUUAUUAAGAGAAAUUGAGAGGGUUAAAUAUCACUGCUAUUUCAUCUAGAAUAAAUUAACUAAAUUAUAAACAUACCUUUUUUUUUAUUAGAAAAAAAAAAUCUUAUCAUUGGGUGGCUUGUUUCUUCAUUGAUUCAAAAUUAUUUUAUUUAAAAAAAAAUUAAUUAUAUCACAUAUUAGGAUUUAAAGAUAGUCAGGGUUCAUGAUUUGAGAGACAUUUAAUUAAAUUAAUAAUAGUCCUUUUAUAUAAUUUUCUCUAACUAUACAACUAUAAUUACAAAAAAAGGGUUUUAUAGGGAUAUUAAAGGGGUCUGAAAAAUAUUACUCGUAAUAAAGAUGCAACCCUUUGAUACAUCUAUAUAAAUGAAUCAUUAGCAGACUUAUUUGCGUGUAGCGUCAUAUUUGUUCGUUCUGGCCUCUUCUUUCCGAAACCUUUUUUGAUUCGUUGUAAUAUAAACUAAUUGUUAGAUGUUAGUAUUUCAUGUCACAGUUCAAUUGUCUGAACGUAAGUUCAGCUUCAAUUGUCUGAACGUAAGUUCAGCUGCUCUAUGAGAAGUCCAAAUUCAAUAAAUUAUGUGAUCUAACGUGAUUAAUUGAUACUCUUCAAAAGGUGUGCCGUUCCUAUGGUACGACUUUUAAUUGGCUGAAACCAGUUCUAUACUUCUAUUACUUAGUAUUGUGAAAGUCAACCACUCGGCUCAGCCCGAGUGGCCAGGGCUGCUGUCCUCCAACUUGGAGGGCAGCAGUUUGAACCCCCACAAAAGUAUUGUGGGAGUAUUUUUUUUCUCAAUUAAUUUGAGUGAAGGUAGUCUUCUUGGAGGGCAGCAGUUCGAACCCCCACAAAAGUAUUGUGGGGGUAUUUUCUUUCUCAAUUAAUUUGAGUGAAGGUAGUCUUCUCCUUUACUCAUGAGUGAGGAGUAGACAU
rnacentral:lncRNA from 1 species